GAGGGAGAGAGAAAAGUGGAGGCAAAAGGAUAAAAGUAGGUCCUUUGGUCCAUAGCUUUUGUGUGCACCAUGAGAGAAAAGUAGGGUUUGGUCCAUGGUCCACCAUGGACCAAGGGCCCUCCUCUCACUUUUCUUGCUCCCCACUCUAACUCAUUUGACCCCUUGACCAUGGCAUGAGAGGCUUGACUUGUUGACUAGUUUUCCUCUGCCACGUAGGAUUGACCGCGCCACGUAGGUGUCUUUGACUCGUGCUUGCGGAAUGUUGACUUGGUCGCCAUCACAUAGGAUUUACGGCUCGGCCCAUAUAAGGGUUUAUUUUACUACUAUUCUUCAAAUUUUAUUUGAGUGUAUAUGUGUAGUGAGGUUUAUUAAUUUUGCAUUUCGAAAAAAUCAAUCGUGAACAUGGUUCGUGAAGGAACUUUUAAUUUCCUAUUUUCAUACUGGUCUAAUAGCACAUACCAGUGACAUGCCUUUGUCAUUUUUUUGUGCUUUAAAAAUAAUACAAAUACAAUAAUAAAUAUCUUUAAUAAAGAUGUUUUGCACGGGACACCUUGCUAGUUCUUUAAUUAAUGCAAAAAAGGGAAAUAUCAGGAAAACAUAGCUUAUGCAUUUUUUUUGUAAAUCCGGUACGCAUAUCCAUUUAACUGGUUUAAGUAACACUAAAGUAACAUAUCUUGGAGGGAAGCGCCGUCGCCGCGUCGUAUAAUUGCCUUAAAAAAAAGAUACUCUUUCCGUUUCAUAAUUUUUAUCUCAAAAUUUGCCCCCAAAAUAAUGUAUUUAUUUAUAAGAAAUGUUUAGAUUCAUGUAAUAUUUCGACAAAAAUUAUUAAACUGAGGGAGUAUCUCUUGUCCGUCGAGCACAUACUGCAUAAGCAUGCACACGCAGGUUGUGUCUCUGGUCUCUUCUGCGGUCAUUUGCAGUUUCGCGCUAAACUGACUAACGAACACUUCAAAGUUUAAAAAAAUAAAAAAAAAAAUAGCGAGAGCACCUGGUUGCGGGCUUGCUGCAGGAGCUCAAAGUUAAAUUGAUGCUCCUGUCGCCUAUAUAUACGAGCCAGUAGCUCCUUCAUCACAGCAUCAAGAUCACCACCACAAGUGCAUCUGUGCAAAGCGUGAAAAACAGAGCAAAACAUCCUCUGCCUCAGCCCGCGAAGCCAGCUCCUCUCCCCUGUUCCUACUCUGUUUCCCUCACUCACUGACUCACUCGAGAGUUCCUAGUGGAACGCGAGGCUUUGCUCGGGACCCGGCCAUGGUGGCGAUCAAGGCGCCGAGCUCCAUCGACCACGCGAACCCGCUGACCAAGUCCCCCAAGGCCGCAGCAGCAGCAGCAGCAGCGAUCCCGACGGUGGACCUGUCGUCCCCGGGCGCGGCGAGGGCCGUGGCGGAUGCCUGCCGCGGCGUGGGCUUCUUCCGGGCCACCAACCACGGCAUCCCCAGCUCGCUCGCCGCAGCGCUCGAGGCCCGCGCCAUGGCCUUCUUCGCGCUCCCGCACGAAGACAAGGUGGACGCCACCAUUGCCGCGGCCGCCCGGAGGCCCUUCGGGUACGGCAGCAGGAGCAUCGGCUCCAACGGCGACGUCGGCUGGCUCGAGUACCUCCUCCUCUCCCUCGGCUCAAACUCAAACUCCAGCUCCAUCCCAGGAGCUUCCUCCCUCCCGCCAUCGCUCCGGGCGGCGCUGGAGGAGUACACGGGAGCGGUGAGGAACGCGAGCGGGAAGGUGCUGGAGCUAAUGGCGGAGGGGCUGGGGAUGCAGGAGAGAUGUGCGCUGAGAAGGAUGGUGGAUGGAAGCGAGGAAGAGCUUGUCAGGGUGAACCAUUACCCGCCGACCAAGGAAGAAGACUGCGUGGCGGGGAUGACGGGGUUCGGGGAGCACACGGACCCGCAGAUCAUCUCCCUGCUCCGGUCCAACCGCACGGCCGGGCUCCAGAUUAAGCUCCAAGGACCCGACGCGCCAUGGGUCAACGUGGCUCCCGACCCGGAUUCCCUCUUCGUCAACGUCGGCGACUGCUUGCAGGUGCUGACGAACGGGCGGUUCAGGAGCGUGAAGCACAGGGUGGUGGCGCCGGAAGGGGCGCAGGCGUCGAGGCUGUCGGUGAUCUACUUCGGCGGGCCGGCGCCGGCGCAGAGGAUCGCGCCGCUGCCGGAGCUGAUGAGGGAGGGCGAGCAGAGCCUCUACAGGGACUUCACCUGGGGGGAGUACAAGGCGGCUGCCUACAAGACCCGCCUCGGCGACAACCGCCUCGGCCCCUACGAGCUGCGCAACGUCGCAGAUACUAAUCCGACGGCUCUGAUCACCGCCUCCAAGGAACCCACAGCCGCCGAUCACUGCUGCAGCAACAGCAGCAGCAGCAGCGCCGCCUGCGUCGUCGUCCAGCCGCCGCACGUAGCACAAGUGCACUAGCUAAGCUAGCUGAUGUCCGGCCGGCGGCUACUGUCGAUCGUUGGUCGGUCGUUUGAUGUGUAAUCCAGAUGUGGUAACUAAAGCUAGCUGUACGUGUGCCUGCCUGCUUUCCCAGCCCAAAAUUGGCAUGCGCCUGCGAAAAUGCCUCUCCCGCAUGCUCUGCUUCGUCCCGGUUUCAGUUUGUCCUUUCUGGGAAAACAUUUGUAACUUCCGCUAGUAGUAGUAGUAGGCUCGUAGCUGCAAGCCUGCAAGUGUGCUGCACCCUUUUGUCACCGGCAGUUUAACAGCUUGAAUCGCACGCUAUAUGCUGCCUGGUGUACUGUAAAUUAACGGCCCUAUUGUUCCGAUUGUCUUUGUGUGUUACUUACUUCUAGAGUACAAGUUAACUGGAGUACUAAGUGACAACGUUGUAAAAAAGCCCCCCUCUUCGCUUCUUUGGGGCCUUUUGUGCCGUAUAAGAAGUUAAGUACUUCAGAGGAAGAAGGAAACAGUUCAGUUUAGAUUCUACACGGUGCCAACCCCCGAUGCAUCAUCAAGACAUCAAGGUUCAGAUCAGACGACAGGGCUCGAGCCGUGCUCGGUAACAGCUCACGUCCGCUUGUUACAACUAGACGAGCCCCGUACGUUGUCGUGGAAAUUUUUAGUUAACAUACGUGAGCCCACGUUGUUGAGAACAUACAUGAAUGAAAAAUAGCAACAAAAGAGUAUUCAGUGAAAUGUAUAAUGGAAUUGUAUGAUAAAUUAUAGAUCAUUCACUUAGUAAAAAUAGCUUGAUGAAAAAUAGCAUGCAUGCAUGUGCAAAAAAUAUGAGUGUUUCACUAAAUAGAUAUGAACAAAUUAAUAGUGUGAUGAUGUGGCAUGCUUGCAUGUUGAGAGAAAUCAAGUAGCAGUAGCAUGUUCUUCUCCUUAGAUAUGGAAGAUUAGUGCUGUGCGUGGUACGGUUCGAGCUGAUCCAAGAGAAACGUGGUAUCUACGGAUCGGAUGUUCGGUUUACAAAAAAAAUCGGAACAACUAAAUCCUAUCCAAUUGAACCAUUGAUUCACCGGUUCGAACCUUCCUGUUCCUCAGGCCGAGGCAGCGAUUGAUCUCUCCAAUUCCUCGAUUUGCUGCUGCUGCCGCCGCCGCCGCUAAGCCCCACCGUGGUCGCCGCCGCCGUCUCCUUCAGUGCAAGUGAUCACAGUUCGCACCGCCUGCAAAUCCGCUCCCUCCCCACCCCCUCAGCGGCUCGCCGCCUUCAAAGCCGAAGCCAAGACGACUCCGCCGCUAAGACCAUCGGCGGCCGCCUCCGCAUCCCACGCCGCCACCGGGUGGAUUCGUCUCCAUCGCGCCGGCGCCCCCAACUCCCCGCCAACCUCCACCAUUACCCUGCUGUCGAUUCAGCGAGAUUGAAGUUUUUCUACCUCCGUCCCAGGCGCGCACUGCAGCCGAGCAGGCGACGAAAAUAACUCCUCCAUUACCCUGCUGUCGGCAACCUUCUUCGAGCUUUGAGCUAUUCGGCUUUUCCGGCCUGCAGCAGAGCAGCCGACGAGAGCCCUCUGGCAAGACGAAGCAUGCUGUUCUUUUCGGUAUGCAGUAUGCGCAGGCAAUUUAGGUUCGAACCAAAAGAUCCAUUGGAUCGUGUGGAUCACGGAUGCUGCUCCAAUGGAUCGAACCUUUUUACUCCCUUGCACCCUAGGUACGUGAAGUUUGGUGCGGUUCAGAGCCGGUACGAGCCACGCCCACCCCUAGUUACAAUCCGUUUUACUAAACCAACUAGUGGAAUGUCCGUGCUUCGUGACGGCUGAUGUUCAACAUAUAAUGGAAACGAAUAUUGAAAAGAAGGUGCAUAUCGUUUGCACGGAAUACAUAUCGGCCAUACCCAAUUGCUAUGAUAACAAAAUUCGACAAUACCAAAACAUUGAAAAACGACGAUAAAUAAUAUGAGAACUCAAGAAUACAGAACUUGGUUCAUACAUAGGAUGCGGUACAAACAGAUCUAUCUAAAGUACCACAUUAAAUAACAUCAAAGAAAGGUAAACUGGAACCAACCUAUAAUAGGGCAAGCUUGUUCAAGUAUAUUACAAUAAAAAUAUGCCUGGAAGGCAAAUUGGAAACAAAGAUCAUGAUUAGUGACAACAAAAACACUUACCACAUCUAUUAGCUGAUGAAAUGGUAGGAGCAAACCUUCACUAACAGCAUACAAGAACGAUGUCGCCAUUCUCUACAGCCUCCCAGAUAUUUUCAAGCCUCUCAUUCCUACAAGGACUUGAGUUGAUAUUAACAACUGGCACAGUUUGGUACCUCUUUUGUACAGUAGGAUAGAAUCACAUAAGGUAGAUUAUAUGUAUCCUGGAGGUUAUGGUAGAUUAAUAUAGACAACUUGUAACAUAUACAUUUUUAUAUUAGUGAUAUACAAGAAAUGGAAGUUGAAGGACUCAGCUACUUAUGGCUAAUGAAUUUGUUCAGGGUUCAGAAGACCGUAACCGGAUGGUUUGAGUUUCCAACGCAUUUGCAGCAUUGCCUUUUUCAAAUUUUAGUAAGCCCCAAAAUUACACCACUGAAAUUAAGCAACCAAACUCAGUAAAGGGAUACGUUCAAAAUGCAGAUAUUACCUUAUUACAUCCAAACAAAACGUAUGAAAUAUCAUGUUUAUGGGAAUUCCUAGAUUAGUGUGAAUAGUCCCAAGAGGAGCAACAAUAUCACCAACAUCCUCCCCGGAAGGCCGAAACAUGGCCCUUAUAGAUUUGGGAUAACACAACAAACCUACAGAUGCAAAGCAUGACAGUGAAACUUUGCUCAUAUGUCAGCUUAUUAGUGCAACCAGAAAACCAUAAUGCUUUUAGAAAAUAUUGGUCACUUGGAAAAAUAAAUAAACACAGAUUCUAGAGUACUAAGUGACAAUGUGUUACCGGUAUUAUGAGCAGCUCUGCAGAAAUCAAAGUUCAGUUCUCACAAACUCAGCUUCAUAUUUCAGUCUAUUUGUUGUUCACCUUUAACCCCACUUCAGGUGGGUUUCAUUCUCAUGCUUCAUGAUAGCAUAAGCAGCAAGUAUACAGUACCUUAGUCUUAAAAAAACAUAUAAUUUUCUUCCCUGUUACAUUGUGUCGUCAGUGGUGUUCCCCAUAUAAUUGACAUAUAUUCUUUGAACAUUCUAAAAGAAAAAAGGGGAUCAAACUUGUUACACACAUGUUCCCCAAAUAAUUGACUUUCUCCUCUAUCAAAAUCUAUUUGACAGAGAGAAUGGGUUAAAAUUCAGAUAUAUUGCCAGACUUACAGUUGUACAUAAUUGAAGUUAAGAACAAAGCAUUUCAAAAAUAAGAAACAAGGGAAUAUGAAACAUAUGAAAUUUGUAAACAAAGAAUGAGCAAAACAACAAAACAUGUGCAUCCAAAACUUAUUUAUUCCUACUUACUACUUACAUGAAUUAUAUUCUGAGUCUUCUGAGUGAGUUCCAGGUACCAAUGAGCCAAAUGGAAUCACGAUCAAAUUCGUUAGCAAGUGAUUGACGAACCGCCUAUGAUUUAUCGAAAUUAUGUCCAAUUAUGCUAUCUCAGAUAAGCAUCAACAUAAAAAUUUCCUACAACAACCUUCAUUUAUAUUAAAAGAUCAUGCAUUUUACUUGACGCUCUUUUACCAAAAUAUUGCAGUAAUCAAGUCAUGACCCAAAGAUUUCCGCACAUUUUACGGACUACAAAAUUAUAAAUCACCACAUGAAUUUAUUUUGUUUCAAAAUACCGCGCCAGAUUGCCAGAAGACCAUGAGUAAGAAAGAAGUGUCUACUCUUGGCAAAAGUCUAAACUACUCCUAAGUGCCCAUCGAUGGAAGGAAAUCUCAAUCAAUACAGGGGCACAUUGAGGAGUAAGACGGAGAGAGGUAUGGAUAGGGUUAGUUACCUUGAGGUGCUGGAUGCCGAACGAGUGGUCCAUGAGGGCCAGGGGAGAGUAUCCGGCGAUGGAGAUCGCCUGCGCAAGGGACGCCGAUGACUGUCAGCAGCAUGGUGCUGCCCCCGCCAAGCGCAGCCUCAACGGUGGCCAACAGGCGGCGGCGGCCAUCGUCUUCAUCAUCCGCCGCUGCUUCAUGUGUGAGGAAGAGGAACGGCGGAGGGCGCCUGCGCAAGGGACGCCGAUGACUGUCGGCAGCAUGGUGCCGCCCCCGCCAAGCGCGGCCUCAACGGUGGCCAACAGGCGGCGACGGCCGUCGUCUUCAUCGUCCGCAAUUGCUUCAUGUGUGAGGAAGAGGAAUGGCGGAGGGCGCCCACGCGGGAGACACUGAUGACGUCGAGCGCCCCGGUGCCGCCCCCGUCGAGCGCGGCCUCGGCGGGGGCCAACUGGCAGUGGAGGCCGCCAUCGUCAUCCGCCGUUGUGUCGUGCGAGAGGAGGGGCGCUGGUGACGAGACGUCUCUGGAGUAGGGGAUGGGAUGGGGACGAUGGCGGAUCUGGAGGGCUAGAAAGGAGGAGGUGGAUCGAGAGAACGGAAAGAACGGGUGCGUGGAGAACGGUGGAACGUGGUGCGGGAGAGAGGAGCUAAUUACGGCCGUGAUUGAUUGUUGGAUUGUUUUUUUUUUAGGGUUCAGAUAGGGAUGGUUUUCUUGGGGUGCGGGGAUCGGACGGGUGGGACGAGUGCGACGGAUGAACGUACGUACCAAACUCGAAAUUAAGUAGUAGUAAAGAUAGGGUGCUAAAUUAGGCAUUUGCAAUGACAGGUGACAGUUCACGUGGGUGCCAUGCUUUCCUUUUCCGUGACAAAUAGUACUCCCUCUGAUUCUAAAUUCUUGACUCAAAUUUGUCAAAAUAUGGAUGUAUCUAUUCUUAAAAAACGUCUACAUACACGUAAUAUUUUGACAAUAAUUUAGUAUUGGAGGGAGUAGUAUGUAUGUAAGGUUCGUGCUAACCUACAUGUUGACCCUACAAGCAAUUUUUUCUUUGAAAGCAUGCCAAAAUGCCAAAUUAGUCCUUAAAAAAAAGCUAGCCAAAUUAAAGCAUCCGGUUUUGUUCCUCAUCGUUCAUUUCCCUCCCUCCCUCCUUCCCUCCCACCCAUGUUGUCGUACAAUUGUUUUUUUUAACGGGUAAGGCUUCUCAUUUCUCAAAUAAUAGUACAAUUGGGUUUACCUGCCAUUUGCUGCCCAGCCACUAAUUGGUGCUUAUCUUCACGCCUUGUCGCCCCCUUGCAAUGGCAUUCAUCGGUUGGUUAAAAAGGGAAAAACAAGUUUGCAGCACCGGUACAUUUGUACAUCCUUUUCUAUCCACGCAACCACGCGAGGCCGGACGACACGUGCUGAUGCGACUGACGGGAAAGCUGGUUUGGACGGAUGAGCAGAGAGAGAGAACCCGCGCUCGAGCCGCACGUCGGUUUCUUCUUGCAGGAUAAACAUUGCACGUACCAAACGAGCAAAAAUAAGGAACCGGGUGCCAUAUAUAUCCACUCGAUCGGCUCGGACUUUGUCGCCGCCGCCGCGGCUGCUGCUCCUGGCGUCCCGCAGACAGAUUCCCACGAGCCUUGGGCUUCAUCACACGGAUGCCUGUUACCACUCGAUCGACCAGCCCAAAUAGUCUAGCCGUCCGGACUUCGCGUGCGUGCUGCUCAUAUAAUUGUUGGUUGCGUGGGGGCAAUUAUUGACGUACGUGUAGGCGCGCGUACUAGGAUUAAUCUAUCGACGACCACCGUCAUUCACGAGGUCCGGUCGCGUUUGCUAUCGAGCCCAGGCUCCUAGCUAGUUCGACCGGAUAAGGCCGUUCCCGAAUCUAGUCUCAGUGGCAGUAGAAGAACAGUAGCAGCAUUCUGGUGUGUUCUCUGCCAUUGCUCAUGGGGAAAUAGCGGUGUGGUUGAUCUGGUGGAUUUUUGUGCGGAACCCGACAAGCAUGCAUAUUAAAUGGCUUAAAUUUGUCAAAUAAAUAUAAAUGCAUCUGAAACCAAAACGGGACGGAGGAAGUACCAGUAGUAUAAAAGAACUGUGCACAUAAUGCAUGGACGAUGAAAUGGCCUCACAUGGCGAUCGACCGCGCGCGCUUAGGGCGCCGGCACACGUAGAAGAGAGCCUCGUGCUCGCGCGCGAGCUGAGCAUAUAGCACGUACGGUCCGAGCGGCGUCCCGGGCGGGGAUCUGCAGCCUAGGCCUGUCCGGGGCGCCGUCGCAUCGGUCGAUCCAUCGAUGGCGGGACACGGGACACACUGCACACAGCACGAACACGUGCGUGCAUGCGCUAGCUGCAUAUGCCAAAUCUGGUCUCGGUUCACGUUGGUACGUACGCGCUCGAUUGAUCGAUCGAUGGACAACUGACGUAUCGAUUCGAUACGUCAGGGAGGGCUACGUACGGAAAGCUAUAGCUAGCGGGGCCGCCAGAAUCGAGCAGGGGCUCGAUCGAUUCAGAUUCGAUUCGAUCUGGGGUCGAGAAAUAUGUGUGUGACUAGCUGCUGCUAUACGCACGUGCAUAAUACUACUGGUAUGCUACACUUCUCGUUAACUAAGAUGAUCUAUCAGCCGGAGGUGGCCCGUUAAAUUGAAGAGAGGGAGAGAGAAACGUUCAAACUGAAAGGAAAAAAUGGUGUAACUAUUUUCAAACAAAGGUAUUAAAUGUCGAUGGACAUGUCAGAGACAUCGGAUCAAGAUCCGAGGGUCAUCCACACUUUCCCCUCCGUAACGUGUUAUCGCUGGAUUAAAAUCUGACGACCAACAGGGGCGGAGUUACAGCGUAGACAUUGGGUUCAGAUGAGGAAUUGGAUCCGAGCCUACACAUAUGAACCCCAUGAUUAUAGUGUAAUGAACCCAGUGGUUUCCUUUUCUGGCUCCACCCGUGACGACCAAUCACGUCGACUUGUCUCUAACUAAAAAAAUACAGACGACUUCUUAAUAGCAAAACAUGAAAAAGGAAUAUAAUGUCUCUGUAAAAUAUAGAAAGACGUGGUUCUCCGUUAAGAUGUUGUGGUUAUUUCUCUUCUGUCAGUUGACCAUUUUUGUCCCCGUCUGAUCCAGCGCCGCUCCGUUACCGUACCAUGUUUUUUCACGUCAUUAUCCGUCCGUAUUCCUUAUUUGUUUUUGCAUUCAUAUCAUGUCCGUGCCGCUUCCAAACCAAUGGAAAUUGUGAAAUAAAAUAUGGUACUAUAUAAAAUCAUUAUCCGGUCCCGUUUUACAUAUAUGCUAUAUUCCUCAAGUAUGUACAUCGAUCGCGGUCUUGUAUGAUUCAAAAACAAAAACGAAAUAUCAGUAGAGAGCAAGCGUACAUGCACACGCAGGAUAUGCUUUCGUUGGUUAAUUCGGUGUACGUACGGACCACCGCGAUGUCUCUGCGCCCGUCGACGUCACACACGCUUACGUGAGUGCGUGCGUACAGUCGGUGAUUAAUCGAUCCGGAAACGUGCCAAUAUAGUCUGCAGCCGCGCCGGCUUUUUAUACUCCCUGCAAUCAAUGCACCCGGCCCUCUCGUUUCGGCCGAAAACUGCAUACCACGCUCGAUCGAAUCAUCCAAGUAUACAGAUACACACAUGCUUCUCGAUGACUCGAUCGAUGGACUUACGGUAUAAUCGUACAGUAGUUGCUUUCGCUUCCAGACGUAGGUACACGGAACGACGAACCGGGAAAAACGGCCCUCCUGCUCCUGGCUUGGAAUCAUUCCACCUCUGGUGGAAAUCCUGGACCACCCGUACGUCCAUAUGCUCCCUUGCGAGUUGCAGACACGUUAUACGUACUCAUGUAAUCGCUCCGUUUCAUAAAAAUUGACACGAUUUUAAAUCAGAACUAAGUUAAAAUCAUGUCAAUCUUCGUGAAACGGAGGAAGUACCUGACAGGAAUGCAUGCAGGGAUCAGGCACUCCAGUUUGGAGUUGGAACGGGGCACACAUGUGGAAAAAGUUUCGAACUAACAAGGUGGCGACUGCGACCAAAGCCAGAACCAUUUUUUGUCGAGCACGAUCGAUCGACCUGCAGCGCCAGAGCCACUAGAGGGCCCAGAUCAGCUUGCCCCGCCCCAAUUCCAUGCGUUCCGGUUGUUUCCUUUCGAGCCCCCUGCCCCAGUUGCCUGCCCUUUUAUCUCUCAGCGAUCAGUUACGUUCAUGCAUUCUUGGCCACACGUACCUACACUACAAUCGGUACUACUACGUACAUGCGAGAUAGCUAUGUCCCGAUCGAGCCUGCAAUUAACGGCAACUCGACCGAUCAAUCUGCAAGUAGAGACAGUAAUCUCGAAUUUGGUUCAAAAGCAGGCAGCGAAUCCUGGAACGACCAAGUUACACGGUACUCCUAUGUAAGCUAGUACUAGUACAACUAGUAGCAUGCCACCGGUGGAUCACUCACCUGGGGAUACAAAACCGUUCUCCUUCGAUUAGAGUCGUCUGCAUUAUUGACAGUUUCGAUGGACCAGGCAGACAGAAGCAAAGCCUGGAUGCGCGCGGGAUCCACUUGUCCAGCAAAAGGGCACGAAUCGGGGAGGUCACAGGACUUAAACAUACGAUAGGCCACGCGAGCCAAAGGCGUGCCGUACUGUGCUGCCCCUGCCUGGCCUGUCGUGUGAUGUGACAGAAAAAAAUUAAAGGGAGCGGCGAACCUGCGUUUCAUGAUCAUUGAUAGAUGGAUGGGUGGAUCGAGCUAGUAUUAAGCUGGUUGUGGUGUGUGUGUGUGGAGGGGGGUCUGUCUUUGAAAAGUCGACGCUGCAUGCGGACGUUCAGUUUCAAGUGGCGUGCAAGAUGUUCCUAGUGAAAAUGUGAAAUCAUGGGGGAAAUAGGCGAAGUUUGCAGGGUUGAACGGCACACCGCGUUUGGCUGACGGCUCUAUGCGCGGAUAUGAUGUUUUCUUUUUAACGAAUAUUCUGAUAUUUUUCAAUACCAAAACCGUAUUCGGAGUUAGCUGGCGUCUGAAUUUUAAACAGAAGACUUAAAUCUCCGGACUCUUGAAUUAAGAUCUAAGUGUCAUCCCCACUCUCUCUUCUCCCGCAUGCUGUUGUUGGAUUAAGAUCCAAUGUUCAAACACGUCAGCUGAUCGCUAACUAAGAAACAAGCGACUUCUUAAUAGCAAACCGUUUUCUGAAUCCCCACAUUCGAUAAUAAAAUUCCACCGGGAACCUACCAUGCUGUAUGCAGAUAUCGACCUUCUUUUUUUGGAUUGUGAUAAGUGUAUUUUCAUAGUUUAAAUAUUGUUCACGGUGCAAAUUCCGCCCUUGCGUGGCGGGUUAUUGGACAUUCAACUGUGGAUACCGAGCUUAGCAAAUUUUUGUCGAACUCUUUUUGGAAUGGAAUGGAUUAAUACAAUUUGACUAAGAGUCAUCAUUUUUAUGGUUUAGGGUGGUGGCUGCACCCCAAAACCUACCAAGGAUCGAACCCCAGGUUUGACCCUCGGCGUGUCUCAUUUGAGCCGAAUUUCUUUUGGCAGUAGGAGAUGCAAUCCGUUCACGCUUCACACUGAAGCGUCAGUGACUUCGUCGAUCUCAAAACGUUUUCACGAUUCUGGUCAUCCGUGUGAGUGUGUGCGCACGGCGGUGUACGUCGUGUGUGAUCAUUGUUCCUAAAAUAAAGUACUUCCUUCGUCUAACAAAGGAUGUCUGAAUUUUGAUUAAAUUUGAAUGCAUCUAUACAUCAAGUCAUGUCUACAUACAUCAACAUUUUGACAAACUUGAGACAUCUUUUGCUGGACGGUGAAAGUAUAGGAGCCCGGGAAUAGCCGCAUCUUAUUACAAGCAAUUAAUAUUUCGACCCUGAACCAGUUUGAGCUUAACCCCAGUGGAUCGGAAUCGGGUUCACUGAGCGAGCGAGCGCUCCAUUACAGAUUUUUACAGGCACUGAGGCACCGUCUCUUCCUGCUGCCCCCCUCCGGGGAGCUAGCUGCGUGCUAUGGACCGCCCAUUCGUGGAACGGGCUGUACCCACCAAUACCUACGUACCUGCGCGCCUGCCAUGCCACCCCUCUGCCACGGGGGGCUGUCGGCUCCAAAGAAUCAUGCAAUAAUUACCAGCUUCUUCUAUCGGCGGCAUACAGAGGAGAGGAUUGAGCUUUUGAGCAUCUCGUGUGCAGAGAGAAUCUCUCUGCCCGUUCGCGCCAGGUGGAUGUAUUUACUUGCGCCAGGAGCAAACGAGCAACUCGUGACCGCCUACGCACGUUUCCCCGACUAGACAAGUCAAUUGGUGAAAAUUGGUGAAAUUGGCAGCUAGCUUAUUUAUCCCUUUAUCCAUUCGCACCCACCCCACCCCGGCCACCCUCCGCGCUGCGCAUGCAUGCAUGUCCUCGUGGGCUCUCGAGGACUUGAAGUACGUACGUCGCAUGCAUGCAGAUAAGACGGAGCUAGAGAGAAAGCCUCUUCUUUUCGCUCGUGGCCCGGCAUGUGCAUGCCAAUGGCAAUGCCAGCGUCCCAGUCAGCUACUCUCUCCGUUCCAAAUUCUUGCCUCAAAUUUAUCCAAAAAUAAAUAUAUUUAUUUUUUAAAAACGUUUAUAUACAUGUAAUAGUCCGACAAAAAUUAUGAAACGGAAGGAAUACUGACCAUAGCUAUGGUCAGUACAACUCCUAGUGACAAGUGCAAGCAGGGGAAGUUCAUACUCUAUGUGGGAGGUGCAAUGCAUCUCUCGCUCUAAAGACGUGGUACUCCUAGACUACAGGACUACCACGUACUGGAUUCAUCGAGAUGUGAUGGAACGGUGUACCAGGGUGCGUGGCAUGCAUGUAGACGCCGGGCCGAUCGAUGUAUGUCGAGAGCGGGAUAUGGACAACGAAAAAGGGUGUGGGCAGGGUAGGUGUUCGAUCAAAAUCCACGGACAGUUCCAAACUGAGGAGACCAUGGGGAAACUACUGGACAUCGGGGGUAUAGUGUUCACGUGACGUCAGAACUGGGGAGAGCUACACAACCUCAAGUCGUCGUCUUCUGGUAAGCAAGAGGACCCUUGUUUGGGAGCGCAAUGCAAGUGCAGAUGUUGUGCAGGCGCAGCAGAGACGUGACCCUUGCAGAAGAAAACGCGAAGAGCCGGGUAUAGUGGAUAUGUGGAUGCGUGAAUUAUCGUGGGCCGGGCCGCUUCAAAGCCUGGUAACGCGUGUCGUCGUGGCCUGGCCCAGAUUAUGCUGCUCAUCCGUCCAGCUCGCAAUACAUGAAGAGAAGUUCAAAAACCCGCUGUCCACUUUUGCAUUUAUCCAACGUUUCCUUGAUGAUUUGUCUCUCAUUCGUGAUGUUGUCCAUGCUGUGACACCGGAGCCUCCUCCUGGUGGUGGUCGCCUUGUCCCGCCCACCAACCGCUGGUCUCCUCCGUCGGCUGGUAUGUGUAAAAUUAAUGCGGAUGCUGGAGUUGCAAGGUCAGGUGCAGGUGGUUCUUGUGCUGCGGUCUGUCGCGAUGAAUGUGGAAGAUUCAUGAGAGCCUCUUCGAUUACAAUCGAGGGCAUGACCGACCCUACAAUACUUGAAGCAUUGGCAUGUAAUGAAGGCUUGUCUCUGGCCUUGGACCUUAACAUCUCAAAAGUUUGUGUUGUUUCGUACUGCUUAACGGUUAUCAAGAGUCUACAACAAGAUGAUCUUUGCUAUUAUAGUGCGAUCAUUAAGGAUAUUGUGGCAAGGAAGGAUCAGUUCCGUGAUGCUGUUUUCAGACGUGAGAAGAGAACUCUUUAUAGAGAUGCUCAUAAUCUAGUUAGAGCGGAGUUACCGCUUUCUGUUGGCCAUCAUAUUUGGCUUUUAAGUACCCCAUGCAUUACUUGUAUUCCUGUUCAAGUUGGUGUUGAAUAAAGCUGGCCUUUCCCCUAAAAAUAAAAUAUCCGUCCAGCAGAACUGAAUCCCCAAUAGCGCGGUUACAAGACAAGAAUGAUUAUGUAAUUAUGUUCCUUGUUAUCGUUUCACUUUGCACCACAGAAAGAGUGCUCUGUUUGGCUCCACCAAGGCAAAAGGAAAGAGAAACAGGAACCGAGGAGUGUCUCAUUGUCAAUUACUAAUUCAGCCAACGAACCCAUAAAACAUGUACCGACGCAAAUGCAAUUCAUCAGAAGUGUUCUUCAAGGAAGAACACAGACAGGGUAUCGGACUACCGGUGACUAUGUUUGGAUAUCUUACAUGCUCAGAAUGCUGCGGGCGAGUUAACUGGGAAAUAAUUGAAGAUGAAGAAAGGACACAGCAAGUUACAUAAGCGGCAACAGAUUUUGCUAGAGUGGCACAGCAGUGGCAGGUGCUGGAACAUGCACCUCAAAUACAAUCAGGAACUCGAACUGUUUAUAGCUUUGGACACUUUCUUCCAUCGCAAAACACUUCGAGUUUGUUCUUAUCAAGCAAAUGGUUUUCGAUUAGGCCCAGAUAUGACAUGGUGUUAUUACAUGCAUAACAGCGCUGGCUUGUCAAGCACCACUGGCAUACAGGCGAGUCCACUCCUUCGCUGCAAAGCAAAAAAAAAAUUGACAUGUUAGGUACAAAAAGCAAUGAAAAGUGGAGCAAAAUGACAUGCUAGUGUAUCAAAGUGCAGUGUUAGCGUGCGGCUUUGUUGGCUGAAUUUUCAGUUACCUGUCUCGACAGCUUCAGCUUCAUUGGAUUUCCAGUGUUUUGCCACGUUUUCUGAGAGCGGAUCAUCUGGAUUCGGAGCGCUCAGCAGUGCCUGAAUGCUGCAGACCAAACAUUGUAAAGAGGCAAAAAAAAAAGAGUAUACAAUAGUGGAUACAAGAAGCAACCCUCUGGAAAUACGAUAAUAUGAUACGAUCAUGAACUAUAAUGAAACUAUUUGGCCAAACAUGCCACGGAAGACAGAAGAGGUUGCUACCUCAAAAGAACAGUACGUAUCUGAAGAGCUGGGCUCCAUUUGUCCUUCAGGAUAUCGAGGCAUAUCCUACCAAGCUGCAGUGCAAGUCAAUCCGAAAUGAGAAACUGUUAUCGAAUGAAGUUCCAUUGAGAAUAUCAGUUCCCUACCUUGUCAAUGUUGGGAUGGUAUAUUUUUGUGAGAAACCUAACCUGCGUCAGGAAUAACCAAAGAGUGAUGUCCAUCAGAAAGAAUCACAACAGAGACAACAUACAGAAAAGUCAAAUAGAAUUGUGUAACUACUUUGGUUAGACGACAGUGUCACACUAAAACUAAAACAACCAUGUUGAUAUCCGUAAGAGUAAAACAGUCCAAGGACAGGAGUUGAGAACAAAAUAUUCAGCUACCUCUUAUUUAACAUGAUGGAAAUUACUACUCCCUCCGAUCCAUAUUAAUUGUCGAAAUAUUACAUGUAUCUAGACAAUUUUUUAGCCAUAGAUACAUCCAUAUUUGGGCAAAUUUGAGACAAUUAAUAUGGAUCGGAGGGAGUAUUAGUCUGAGUCUCAGAUGAUAUAUCACAAUGUCAGUACACUCCAAAUAUAGCAUUGCCAAUUAAGUAAAGUAAAGUACGGAACUGUGCAAAGGAGAUUAGUUAAGUGAACGGAGAGAGAAAUCUAGUAUGGAUACGAAAAGUAUUAACACAAUACUAAACAUGGGCAUUCAGUAUUCCUGAUCACAAAGAUGGUAUGCAAAUCUAUUAAUGGUACAUAUCAACAACAAACAUGGGCGCUGCCCAAAAUAAGAUGUCACAAUAAAUUGCUGGUUUCGGUUAACCACAGGCAUAAUUAAACGUCCAUCCCACUGUCGCACCAUAGCAUGAUAAAAUCAUUGCGAAGAUCGCUCUGCCAGAUUUUGAACUCAAAUUUCAGUUACAACUUACAACUAGGAAAUGAACCAAAUUCCACAUCAAGGAGCCUACCGGGACAAGAAAAUCCAUCACAAUAUGUGUCAAACUAAUAACUUCUUAAACAACCAUCCACUAAUACUUGAUCAAAAAAUUACUUUUGGAGCAGCCAUCGGAUAUUCCUCAGGUAAGAAAAGUUCAAGCUUGAAAACUCCACCUGUCCAACACAUAUUAGAAGAAAUAUCAGGAGGACCAGACACAGACAACUAAACAAAAUAAUGUUUCACCCAAUUAAAAAUGUCAUAAGCAAAUACAGUAUACAAAGAUAAGUAAACCAAGCUUAAAUAAAUAAGAUAACAUAGUGACAAAUGUACUGUCUAACAAUAGGAAAACAGGUCGUUCUGUGUACCAUUUAUCAUAUACAUGCACCGCAUUUCAUUACUCCAUGUUGCAUGGAAACAUGGUAGAUAGUUCCUUGUGCCGUAUAUCAGUAAACUUCAGUAAUCGCAAAGGUUAAGGAAACCCAAGACAUUCAAUUCCCAUAGGUUACUGAUAUAUGGUACAGUUGUAGAUCUAGCAUGUUAAGGAAACUACAAACUUGUGCCCCAUAUCAUAUCUAAACUAAUAGCAGGUAUAACUGUUGAAGUAUAAGGUGAAUUGCCCUCAUUUCUCCAUCAGCUUAGGCUUUUAGGGGCACUGGUUCGGCCCAUAUGCAACUCUCCAUGGUAUCCGAGCCAAGAGGUCCCGAGUUCAAGCUCAAUAUAAUAAAAAGGCACUUUUGAUCCAUGAGGGGGAGUGUUGAAGUACGAAAUGAAUUGCACUCGUUUCCCCAUCAGCUUAGACUUUUGGGUGAACUGGUUCGGCACAAGCAACUCUACAAAAGGCAGUCUUCCUAUGUGGAAUAACUUCUACAAAUAAAAAACCAGGUUCACUAGAGCUUAAGAUAACCGAUGAAAUGGACUUGUCAAGCUAUAUUUUGUGAUGGAUUCAACAAAGCAGAAUCUCAAAGUAUAGAAUCCAAAAGGCACAGAAGAGUACAAUUACCACUGGAACAGCUGGGUACAAGAUGGUCGGAUUGCUGGUCUAGCAAACAUAAGUUUAGAAGUGUAUAGUUCCGGCAGCACUAGAACAACACCUUUAUGUGACCAUCCUGAUAUGAUCAUCCAUCUGUGAUGUUUUACUACAUAUUUGCAGCAUUUUACAAACAAAAAGAGCCAUAGAUACGAAAAUGGGGACGCGGUGACCACAGUUACAGUCCUAAAUUGCCACAGAACUACGCAUUCGUGCUCCAAAGUAUUACAGGGUUAUCGGCAUACGAAACAUUCCAACAGAAAUAAAAUGAAAAGGAGGUUUUACCUUCAUAAGGAGACUGCGCCGGACCAAGGACCAUGACAUUGAAGUAGCGCAUGUUCUCCUCCGACGGCGACGCGCUAAUCCCCGGCGCUGCACGCACCCCCCCAACACACGAAUCAGCACAAACAUCCGAGGCUCGAACGCGGACAACACAACAGGAGCAUCGAAUUCUAGGAAAACGAACCUGGUUCGCUGAGCAGCCGCUGCGUCUCCUGCAGCAGAUCCAAAUUCCGAACAGAUUAGGCACCACGCACAAGGAAUAACCAGACGAUAAGGUUAUCAUAUCGCGUUAGAGUCUCAGAAACGGCUGUAGAUCUGGGGGGGUGAGGGGCGAUCGGAUCGCGGGGUAGGGCGCGCGCACCUUGAUGAUCCGGCGCGGGAGGUUGCUGUUGGCCAUGGAGUCCGGCCGGGGCUGGAGCGAGAGCCUAGAGGGGAGGGGGGGAGGGACCGCCUCGAGCUUCGCGCGGCGACGGAGGAGAAGACAGCGCGAGAGAGGUCAAAGGAGUCGUCGAUCUGUCGGGGAGGGCGAGCCGGGGGAGGAGGCGACGAACGAACAGAAAUGGGUCAGGGUCCGAUACUGUGUACCACGUAUUUAUAAACUCCACGCUACAGCCGCUGCUGCUGAUAUUUUCCUUUUCCUCUUGAGCUGGUGUUUUCGUUUUAUACUCUACCGACCUGUUUGUUUGUCCUUCUAUUUCAGUUUUUUUGCAUCUGGCAAUCUUAAAAGCAUCUUUUCUGUUUACACGUGAAGCUGAGAGGCACCUCCGAACAUGCUAAACACUGUUUACACAUGAAGCUGAGAAGCACCUUCGGACGUGCUAAACAGAAAAAGUGCUUUUGAGAUUGCUAAAAGUACCAAAAACUGAAACAGAAGUCCAAACAAAUAGGCCCAGAGUCUGCUGGAUUGUGAAUUUGAAUACGCACACGGCGAAAUCAAAAUACGAAGUCAUGGCCACUAUGUUUAAAAUAAAAUUCGUGUACUUGGACAAAACAGAAGUUGUUCGGUGAAUAAAAAAACCCUAGAAAUGAUUUUCCGACGUAAUAAACGGUAUAAUAGUACUACUAGUAGUACGAGGGCUGCUGCAGCGGAGAUUAAAAAAAAACGGUGUUCGUUUUAGGUGAGCCAGGGAGAGCAUCUCUCCACGCGAAGGGAGCACACAAUUUAUGCAUGUGCAGAGAGAGAGAGCACGGAGAAGAACAACCUUUGGGUUUGCCUAAUUGCAACGGCCAACUUGUGACUUUGUGUUGUGCGCGCUCGUCGUGGAAGGAUCUCAGGCGAAAAGGAAGGUGGGGGAAAGCUCGAUUAUUCUCCGCAGCUUCAAUCCCACGCUAAGCCGCCUGGUCGAAAAGGUUUGGCUGGCCAAACCGGUUUUGCAUGGUACUCCGUAACAUGUUUUUCAAGUUUUUUAGAACUUUGGAGGAACUCGAAACAAAUUGAGAGCAUACGCUUUCUAAGAGUUGAAAAGUAUUAUUUUCGAAGCACGGGCAGUCGGGCACGGGCAUCAGAGCAUCUCCGUUGCCAGUCGCUCGAAGCGAAGAGAAAUCACGCACUUCCUCUGCUACCGAAGCGAAGGCAGGAACAAGAACAACAGCGACGAGACACAGCCAGAAAUUCGGCAUAGUAUUUGCUCAGGGCUAGAUUCCACUGUAUUCGCUGUAAUCUGGUAAAGCAUGUCGCAUGUGCCCAGACUACAGGAGGAUUUCAAGACAAGUAUCCAGUCCUGUCUUAUUUACAACAGAUAGCGUGCAAAACUAUGCUCAAGAAUCAAGAUAGAUAAAUAACACUGGAUUUCCCCAGUACUUGCUACUUCACCGAACUACGGAGUACAACUGGUAAAGAAUAGUUUCACAAGUCGGAUCCUGAGAUCACAAUGAAAGAGAAGAUACAACAGGGAGUAUUAAAUCUGCACAUGAUCACAAGGAAAUCCAGAUGCACAUGAAUCCAGACAAUAGGAAGAACAGGGAACAGUUUGACAUAUUUUUUCUAAUAAAACAGAAGGUCAGAGUUGCAUGCCUACAUUGUCAACAAAAUAAUAGAUGAAUUGCACGAACAUACCUCAACGACUCAAUGUCAACAUGGAUUUACACUAACAAUUUUUAGUCUUUGACCUUUCAUACUCUUCAGAAUUAAUUAUUACCAGACUAAAAACUACAAUGCACCUAAGAACACGAGCUUUCGCUUCAGAAUAUCCCAAGGAUGGUGGGGGCAGGUGGAGCACGCCAUCAUUGGAGAGCAAGAGCAACGCCAUGUCAUUAACUGAUCAUCUUCAAAUGAUAAUCUGUAGAAGAGACAAUGGACAAGAGUCAAUUGAUCGCUUCACCAAACAGUAACAUUACAAAUUUGCUAUACAGGCUCCAAACAAACUGAUUUUCUAUCAGUCUACGCUUAAACAUAGCAGUUAACAGGGGCAAAGCUUAACACAGGCCCAUCAGCAAUCAUGCAGAGAACAAGGCAAGGCAGAUCAUCCAUGGGAAUCACACAACAAUCCACAAGGAAGCAUGCAUUACAUUCUUUGGAAAGCCAAUCAAGAGAAAUCUGGGUUCAGCGAUCGGAAAGAUUUACAAUGGAUAAGAUAUGUCAAAAUUUCAGUACUGGAAACUUCAGUUACAAAGCAAUUUGAUAAAUCUUACAUGCCAAGACAAGUAUAGAAGAUAUAUCUUUAUAUAAUAAUACUGACUCGUAAUUGUUAGGCUUACAGCAAAAAAAAGGUUAAGUUUCAUUAAACAAGCUUAUUUAUCGGUCUCUGAGGAGCUGGGUUACCUGUAGAUAAAUGGGACCAGAAACUAAGAGGUUACCUGUUGACUCAAGCUUAUGCUUAUUUUGGCGAUACACGUACUCUUAGGCUGGACAUAAUUCACCCUAACGAUUCUCACUAAGACAUGAGAAAGGAAUUCUAGUACGGAAAGGAAGUGAAAACCAGCGCAUGUGCAUCCAAGUGACUCCUAGUGAAACAGCACAGAGAGUGUCCCAGAUCGAUUUUAACUCUGAGUCACCAAGUGGUUCGUCGGUAUCAAUUUGAUCCUAACAGAUUCCAGGCAAUACCAUCAUAUGUCACCCAGUCAUGAUUUCCAGGAAAAGAAUAUAAGUAUUUUCAUCAUACAGACAGAAUUGAAGAAAAACUAUUAUUAGACCAUACAUUAUGGUCUUUCAUUUGUCAUGACAAAAAUGUACUCCCUCCGAUCCAUAAAAGGUGACGCCCAUUUUGUACUAAGUUAGCACAAAUUUUGUACUAGGUGGGCGACACAUUUUAUGGAUCGGAGGGAGUAAUAAGAAACACUAAAAGCUCAAGAUAGAAACUAUGAUUAGUUAGUUCAAUCUUUUAAUAACACCUAUGACAUAACAGAGCUGCACAAUUAUAAUUCUGUAAAUUUUAUCACACCCAAAAACCCAGAGAACCAAACGAUAAGAUACAUAAGUACUUAAAUCUACAAUCAUAACGAGAUGGUCAACAUAUCUCAUCAAUGCACAAAAUUAAAUAGAAAAACACACGACGAAAACAUCCACCAAACAUUAUCUACUGAAGACACAAAAUAUAAAUAGAAUCUCACAAAGCCUACACCAGGAUAGAUCUUAUAUGUGAAUAUCAAUGCUCAACAGGACCGAAAGCCUUAUUUAUGAAGGUUAUCGCACAUUUGGGCUAAGGCCAUUGUAACAUAAAAUAGUCCAAAAUGCACAACAUAUGGGGUGGUCGGACUUCGGCAACGAAACUUCAGACAUACUCGCUAGAUUUUCCGAAGCAACAGUAUCUAAACUUUUUUGUUGCUAAUCCUCCGCAGCAACUCGAGCCAAUUGUUUACCAAGAUCCUUAUCGAGAUUAGCUAGAUUAUUAAACCUUGACUGUAGAUAAACGGACAUGUAUGUAACAUAUUGCUCAGAACAAUCAAGUCGGGCUCACCCAAGCUUGUUUACACCCAUAUGAAGGAAAGGCUUAUUGAAUUGCAUUGUCAGGAAAUCAGCACUUCCCCAAACAAACUGAAAGUACCUUUAUUCCACAACCUAUAAACAUCAAUGGAUAUACUCAGAACACAACAGCUUACAUGUGUGGACCUUCCCACCAUUAAGGCCAAACAUAGUAACAAUAAGUUCCACUUAUUAAAAUGUCAUUGUAUACAAGAAUGUCAGAUUAAAUUAUGCCUCUACACAAGCAUACCAAUCCUGUCACUAUCACUGAAAGUCUGAAACAUUAACUAACAGCCAACAUCAUGCCACAUAACUUGUAAUUUUAGCACAUCAACAUUAGCAUUACAGAAACAAUAGUAGCCACAGAUCACAUAAACGAACAAAAACAAUCUACAGCAAUGUUCUAAACUGAAAUGCUAAAACAUACUUUACCUAAAACCCUCGUCCGCAUCAGAGGUAAUUGGAGUUGGAAAGGAAAGGCAGCGCAGCAACGGAUGAAAUCAGCUCCACUCCACCAGCACCAUUGGAUGCAGCCCCUCCGCUCUUCUUCGUGCGCUUCACCCUUGCGAGCUUCACGUGCGCAUCGACGAAGUUCUCCAUGCGCUUCACCUCCAGCUGCUUCAGGAAGUCAAUUCGCUCGCGUUCCAUCUCUAGCGAAUGCUUUUGUUUCGCACUCUCCACGCGCUCAUACAUCUCUGCAAAAGCCUCAAUUGCCCUCGCCAGCUCGCUGACACCACUAUCCCCAUCACCGCCAGCCUCGCGACGAAAGGGACGCUUGUUGCUACCGCCGGAGCGCGCCGACGAGACAGAACGCGACGGUGACCUCCGCAAGUUGUCAUGGUGGUUGUUGUUGUUGUUACCACCAGGAUGAUCACCAGAGUCCUCCGAAUCAGACACCGCUGCAGCGGCGGCAGCGGCUUCCUGCUGGAUGAACGCAGCGGCAGGGAGCAGCGCCCCGCGGCGGUAGCUGGGGAGGGGCAGAGCCAUGGGCGGGGGCGGGGACGGCGAGGAAGAAGGCGACGGGUACUUCCUCGCGGCGGUAGAAGAAGGAUGGACGGGCAGGGCGAGGUGCGGGGCCAUCGCCGGCGAGGGCCGCUUGUUGGCGGCGGAGUUGAGGGUGGGGCCGACGAGUCGGUCGAGCUCGUCGAAGAAGCUCCAGCCCGACGGCGCGCCGCGGACGCGCUCGGCCUUGUACUUCUUCUUGAGGGUGUCGACGCGGUUCUUGCACUGCACGUCGGUGCGCGGCGGGCGGCGGCGCGCGGCGGCCCCGCGGCGCGAGUUGACGGCGUUGGCCACCUCCUGCCACUGCUUCUGGCGCAGGUUGCCGCGGUUGAGCUCCACGUAGCGGCUGCCCCACGCGUCCACCAGCGCCGCCGUCUCGCCCUCGCUCCAGCAGUCCUCCCGGUAGGGCAGGUUAGGGUUGGGCGGCGGCAGCCUCCCAAACCCUCCCCCUCCUCCUCCUCCCCCUCCUCCCGCCGCCGCCGCAGCAGCAGCCGCAGCCAUCUCCCUCACCUCCAUCGGAACCAGAUCUCGCAGGAGCAAACCCUAACCCUAGCUAGCCCGCCCGCCGAGAGAAGAGGACCGAGCGAGCCUCGGGGAAGUCGCGCGUGACGGUGGGCUAUGUGAGCGGUGGGGGGUUCGGGGUUGGAAUAAAAGGACACGGCGAGGGAAGGGGGGAGGUGGGGUCGCCGGCCGCGAGGGGUCCGGGUUCCGUCCGUCACGCACGCGGCACGUGACGCGUGACCGGCGAGGGGGGGGCGGCAUCGGCAUGGCAUAUCUCGCUCGCUCUCGUGUGUCGUGGGUGACCGGAUUCGGAUCGGAGACGUGCCGCCGUUGGAUUGCGUUUGACCGGGUAACCGGCGAUUACUUUCGGGUUUCGGAGGGCGGGUGGGAUAAUGACAGCCAGCCAGGCACAGGCAAAGCAGAGCGCGGCGACAGGCGACAGCCGGAGACCGGACGGAAUACGGUGGCUGGCGCGGGGGUGGGAAAUUACCGCGUUGCCCCUACCCCGGGGAGCAGGCCGGGGCGGCACGCGGCAGGGGCAAGGCGGGGAUUUCGCGUGGGGCGGCGCGGUGUCAGGGGGUGAGCUGGUCGCCGUUGGUCGGUUUGCGUUUCGGGGCCGCCGAAAGAGGGGAGAGGAGAGAGAGAGAAACGCGCCGAGGAUGAUGGGGAAGGGAGAGGAGACUCGCGAACCGAAGACACCGCUGCUCCUCGCUCUGUACUCCAGUCUAGGCUUCUAGCUAGACUCGGCGCGGUGGAGUGGGUGGGUGAAGAGACUGAGGCGCGGGGCCCGCGUGCAAGCAGGCAGGGCGGGCAAUUAUUGUCGCCUCUGGUGCCGUCGCUCGGUACAGAGGACGGACGGACGGACGGCGUGGGCAAAAUUUAAUCGGCGUGCAGCAGGUGCCGGCUGCCGCCUGCAGGCGCCGGUCCUUCGGAUUGAUCGGUGGAUGGAUGCACUCGCCAAUGGCAAUUCAUCCAUCAAACAUCAUUCGUUACUGUAUAUUUUGUGGCAAAUCAAGAUUAGAGGUUCAUCAUCCGUUUACCGUUUUGGUUUGUCCCCUGGCGUCAUCAUCACCGUCUGGGCUUUGGAACUGACAAUAUGGUUCUUUCGGUGAAAUUCAGGUGAAAGUAAAACUCCACCGGUAGAUAGCAGCGGCCAUGGUGCCGUCGUGGGAACAGAGCAGUACGUACGUUACGGGCUCGCGUCAAAUCCUCGACGGAACCGUGCCCGCUGCACCGGUGGGUGAACAGAACACCAUAAAUCCCUCGCGGCCGUGGAGAGAAGUCAGGGGAACCGCGUGUACGUACGUGGUCCUCUCCUGCUAGCUAUAGCUAGGCUGCCCCGUGCGACCGGCGGCGAGGAAACGGCACGCUCGGGAGCCGUCAACAUUGAAUCGGAGGGCCGGGCGGCCGCGAUAGCGUAGCGACCAGCGAGAUACUCAGUCAGUACGGGCUACUUCGGGCUGUCACGCACGCACCGAGCCGGACGGCCGGGCCGACGCGUCGGGCUUGGGAACCACCGGCGCCGCAGGGGCGGGCUCGGACCGCGUCCAACGCCGCAGGCUUUGCAAAGCUUGCGUUGCGUGUACCCCACGCUACCACGCGGGUCCCCUCCACCAAUCAAUUCCAGGCCGGACGGACGGCCGGUACCGUGUACCGACGCGUCGCCCGCCGGAUCUCCGUGGCGUUUUCCUUUGCCUUUAGUUGUGUACCCGCCCCGCUUCACGCCGGCCUUGUGCGGCAGUUGUGUACACACACGCACGCACUUGUACUACUACUGGUGGCCUUGGACUUUGCUGGUUGCUGGUGCGCACCCAGCUUUUUGCGAACGGUUCCGGGAAACGCCGGCGGAAACUUGUGCGGCGGGUCGGUCGGUUGCCGGGGAAGGAAGGAUUCUUCACACAAGCAACGUGAGAUCUGACCAAGGGGAGCAGCAGCCAGCCAGCACGAGCAGCAGUUCGGCGCUGGAGCUACGCGCGAGCUGGGGCAGGAGCUACACGCCAUGUACGUUGCGUCCCCGGGCCGGUUUGAUUUACGACCGGAAGAGCCGCAGCGUUUCCGGCGCGAUGACCGGACAAAUUAGCCGGCUUGGCCGAUGGCUAUACUAUAUCGGAUUGGACAUAUGGAGUGAUAGUGCUCCCGACAGGUAGGAGACGGACGGACGAGAGCGAGUAAACUGCUGCCUGCGACUCUGCGAGUCCUGCCGUGCACGGCUCCAUGGACGGACCGCACGUCCAUGGCCUGUGUAGCUCCGACCGCACCGGACGCAGGCAAGCGGGACGUGCUGUUCAUCCUGCAGACGGGACUGACCCAAGUUAUUGGAGACGCGUCGGCAUUGAAGCCUUUUCCAUUCUCAGGAGCAUGACGUAAUCACGGGAUCACGCACGGCGUGGGCAAAAGAUUACCAGCCGCGCCGCGCGUGCCUGACUGCCUGUGCAGCUGUGCUAUUUUGAGUGCAGAAUACAGUUCUUCAGAACCGCGCCUGUUUUUUGAGGCUAACUGAACAUGCAGUUCCAUACAAUUUCAAAACUCUACGUAUAAUACGGAAGGGUAAAAGAUACUGAGGCGGUCGAGACCACUGUCGCGACACGCGAAGCCUGAAAUCGUAGCGGAUUUACUUUUUCUUUCUCUCGGGGCAACGUCCAGCAACAGCAAGUGACUGCUUGCCGGUUCAUCUGGCCGGACUGAAGGUGCAGAACUAUCUGCUUCCAUGACCAUGUCAUCUUACUGAACUGAUGUUGAUGUUGAUCGAACGGAAACUUGGUAUUAGUGCAAUUUGCAUUUGGUAGACGGGGGGUGGGAUGAAGAAGCUGCAGCGCAUUGGUCAGGGCAGCAGAUGGAAAACGCUGGAGACGGAGGUCAAAGAAGACGCGCGUAAAGGAACCGGUCAGAACAGUGACUUCCUUACUGGAUUUAGGUGACAGGCUGAAAAUUGUUUAUACUUUGGCACGUUGCCUGGGACACAGCAGUGGACAAGUUCGGUUCGGAGAAUUCUAUCCUCCAGUCAUGUUCCUUCUCGGUGAUUAACUAUCAGCUCAUCUGCCAAUCACAUGUUCUGUGGUGACAGCAGCCAGCAAAAAUAACCGAACGGAUUAGUGAUCGCCUAGAUUAUGUAGCUCAAUUUGCAUGCGUAGUUUCAAACGGUAUAAAACGAUGCCUUCGAAGAAAUGGGAGUAGUAAAAAACAUGUGGACUCGAUUUGGGCCGGGCCGCGAUAUCUUCGGUUCUCCACCCUCUUACGCGCAGCGUUUCUUCUCAGUGUCUGCUCAUCACUUGCGUUAGCUUGUAUUGUUUGCCUUCGCUUAAUAUUAGUGCCAUGUUAUCAUGGCUCCAUCGCCCAGUCGAACGCCGGCUAUCAGUUCAAAUUAUGGAUAGUCUAUUGGCUUUGAAUAAUGCGUGUCCUUGCUCUGAUUCCGUUGAGUGUCAUUCCAAGAGUAGGUAUCUAUCAGAAGAAUUUUCAGCAAAUGUCAGUGCUGCUUGAAGUCAACGAGUACUAAUCACAACAUGUGUGAACAUUUGCCAUCCUCCUGCGGUGCACUCUGACCUGCAUUGGAGAGCUGUAUUGCAGCCUGAAGGUCUUCUUCUCUAUUCUACUUCUACAUAUCUACCCACGUGUAUAUGCAGUAUCCUCCGAUGGUUUAGCCCAUGGGCAAUGCAGUUGUCUGCUUCAAUUCUUGGUGUUUCAGAACUAGUAGUACUACUAGAUAUGAUCAGUAUGCUGGGGACAGGACAGUAUGAAUGUACGAUAGAUAAGGUCCUAGAACAUGGGCCACAGGUUAUGCAGAUCGCAGACACGAGUGUUUGGCUGGAACUGAUCUCCGAAUGCGAGACUCCGAGAAACGUUGAUGCCGCUUUCUGUCGAUCACCUUGAGCCAUUGUCCGUCUGCUGGCCUGGCAGGGAAAGUCUACGGAAUGCCAUCUCGAAAGCCAUGGAAAUUCUGUUUUGCCUGACAGAACUCUGGCGUACAUGAGCAACAGCGACCGGAGCGUGGUUUGCCUGCGUGCUUGACUGUAUGGUCACGACGAACACGAGGUGGCGACCAUCCGCCGCGUUAUCCAGGACUGCACCCGUCAGAGAAGGAUCCUUCACUUUUUGGGAAUCCAAUCACUUCGGGAUCCAUCAGAGCAGAAGACACGGCCAUUUCGCCGGCGGCUUUCCCCAUACAGUGCACAUCUCGUGAACUUCCGUCCAUAUUUUCUGGCCAAAUUUGCAAAGGAUUUGUGCUUUUCAGAGUGCAGCAAACGUAGCAAUACCAGGAAACUACGGAGUAGAAUAGGAAGGAACGUACGCCUGUUUGUUCGGGCGGCAAAGUCAGAGCGACACUCUCUCUACUUUGUUUGUUCGUCAGGCCAGGACGCCCGCCAAACCCGACAUGGAUAACUCCAUUAUUGACGAUGGAAAGUAGAAAUCUGACCCCGGGGGCACUAGCAGACGACACUAUCCACAUUGUCUUCACACACCGAGAAUAUGACAAAAUAACAUGCAUUCUUAAUUCACCUAUCGUCCCCAGUACACACCAUCAGAAAACAUCUUCGAUCUUCUAAGGCGUGGAUGCAUUAGGGGUGCGUAUAAAAAUAAUCAUACUCCUUCCGAUACAUAAAAAGUUUCCCACAUUUAGUACAAAAUAUGUACUCCCUCCGUCGAACAAAGGAUGUUUCAACUUUGAUUAAAUUUGAAUGCAUCUAUACACUAAGUCAUGUCUAGAUACAUUUAAAUUUUGACAAACUUGAGACAUCUUUUGUUGGACGGAGGGAGUACUAAUUUUAGUACAAAAUGUGUGACACUUUUUAUGAAUGGGGGGAGUAUCUCCUAGACUCUUUUGAUUCAAAUGAGUUAAUCCUUCAGAAUUUUUUCUAUGUAGGCUUAUUUCAUUCGUAGGAUUAGAUUUUAGUGGAAAUUUGCCUAUGGUUCACUUUGCACUGCAGUGAUGCAAACCAGAUUCCGCGAAAACCCACUUCUAGUUCAUUUUUCAAAUCUUCAAUUCAAAUUUUGAGCAAAAAUUUGGAUAAAAGACUUGAGAAUUGAACUAAAAGUUGACCAUCAAUGGGAUCCCGUUUGCAUCUCUACUGCUCUCAAUUCCAAAGUAAAUUUUCCAUCUAAAUCUAAUCACUUGAAAAAAUUCCUUUGUUUCCAUGAUAACUAUACCAAUGCACGUAAUGUUUUUCUCUGUUUUUCCUCUAAUGCUAGAUUGAGUCUGUUUUUCCUUUAAUGUUUUUCCAACUCGAUUAGUUUAUUCAGGUGGUUUCUUCCUGUAGAAAACAACAUAUCAUGACAUUUCAAUCUUGUGUUUGCUAUUUCAGGGCUCAUUCACUCUACAUGCGUUUUAGAUGAUUUUUCUACAAGAUUUCAACUCUUACACCUUGUUUGGCACAUGUGGGUUUCUUACGUUUUCUAUUUCUACUCUACAAUCUUAAAAUCAUGUUCUCCUUCUGACCUUUGUUCUCAAAUUUAUCUAAAUACGGAUGUAUCUAUGUUUAAAAAAUGUCUAUAUAUAUUUAUAAUAUUUCAGUAACUAAUAUGAAUCGGAGCAACUAACUCGAACGAGCCCUCGGUGUUUGAAUAUUUAAAUACUCCUGAAUGCAAGUAUAGUUCUGCACUCCUACUGCAGCUUGCUACCACGAAACUAAACAUUUCUCUUUCUGCAGCCCCCGACUCGAUCUAGCCGCAGUCCAUGUCGUUCUUUUCGCCCUGGCGUGUGCAAGAGUCGAACCCAUAGUGUGAACAAUUGAGUUAGGCACGAGCCGGAGAGGAGGAGAAAGGACAAAUUAUUGCUCAGAUUAAUCAUCACCUCGAUCGUUGCGGCGCAAUACCGUUAUAUAACGACGGAAUACGGGCCCACACGUCAGUGUAAAGCGAGCUGCUUGCCGCUUUCUCCCUCUUGCGUGACGCCGUCGCCGUCCAGAGCCAUCUGGCCACCGGGCUCCCAGCCCCCCACAGAUGUGCCCCCUGCAUGCGCGCCAUGUAUCAGCCUCUGAUACGUCAGGCCAGGAACCAUCCUCAGCCGUCAGUUCGUCCAUCUCGACGGCUGCGAUCGCGCUGCCGCCACUUAUAAAUAGCACCGAUGCACGCGCGAGAAAGUCCGUUUUACCUUGCUGGGGGGGGGGGGUUUUACUUACAUGAGCGCGGGAAUGGAGGCGGAGCUGGAGGCGGCUCAGCGGCGCUUCCGGCUCUGGUUCCGCGGGCUGCGUUCCCUGCGGCGGGACCUCCGGUCGGCCCGCUGGGCCGGCGACGACCCGGCCCAGCUGGGGAAGCUGGCGGGCGGCUUCGUGGCCCACUUCUCCGACUACUGCGCCGCGCGGGCCGAGCUGGACCCGGUCCUGCUGCUGUCGGCGCCCUGGGCGAGCCCCGCGGAGCGUGGCGCCGCCUACUGGCUGGCCGGGUGGCGGCCGACCACGGUGGUCCACCUGCUGUACACCGAGUCCAGCCGCCGGUUCGAGGCGCAGCUCCCUGACCUGCUCCUGGGCGUGCGGUCGGGCAACCUGGGCGACCUCAGCCCGGCCCAGCUGGCCCAGAUCGACGAGCUCCAGCGCCGCGCCGUCGCCGAGGAAGACGCGCUCUCAAGGGAGAUGGCGCGGCUGCAGGAGGGCCACGGCGUCGUUGGCGGAGACGGGGAUCUGGACGUGGAGGGGAUCGUGAGGCGCGCCGGGGCCGUGGUGGCAGGGGCCGACGCGCUGCGGCUGCGCACCUUGAAGCGCGCCGUGGAGAUCCUCGAGCCGGCGCAGGCCGCCGAGCUGCUCGUCGCCAUGGCCGACAUGGAGAUCGGCUUCCGGGAGUUCGGGCUAAAGCACGGCGACGGCGGUGGCGAGCCGAGCCGCGGCGCGUAGGCAUAGGCGUGGCGCGGUCCAGAGAGCAGAUCCUCAUCCGCAUCGGCGGCUCGGCCCAGUUUUUUUCUUCCAAGUGUUUGCGCUGGUUUGACUGGGACAGAAAGACUGCUCACUGUUGUAAUCUUGUUGCCGUGACGAUUGUCUUUGCCGAACUGUCUCGCGGUGGGUGCUGCGUCGUAGCUGGACCGUGUGCGUGUGCGUGUGCGUGCGCGUGCGCCUGCUGGGAUGUCGUGUGAGAAAGCAAUAAAAUGCAAGGAAUGCAUGCUUGGUUUCGUUGAGAAGUCAUAUUUUGUUUUCGAGCAAGCGGUUUUUUUAACAUCUUUUCCGAUAAAUUGGCUGUUUGUCUGUUCACUACAGAAGACCCGUCCUUUUAAAAACGGUUUUGCUAUUAAUAAAUCCAUGUUUUAGUUAGAGUAGUCAUAGGAUUUUAAUCCAAUGAUAGCAAGUGAGAGAUGAGAGAACGAGGAUGACUCUCAGAUCUCCAGCAGUUAUGAAACGUCGACUGAUAUUUAAGGUUCAUUUUUUAAAAACUUGCGACUUAGAAAUAGCCAUACCCAUUUAAAAAACGUGUUAAAUCUUAUUAAAAUAAGAUUCUGAUCGAUAACUUAUUUUUAAUAGGUAUUGCUACGGAAAAGUUGUUUUUCUAGUUAAAGAUAAGUUGAAACACCAACUGUCAUAUCUUGAUCCAACGGCGGCACAUUGAAGAUGGGGUGUAGCUGCUAGCUUCGGCAUUGAAGAUGGCGUCAUGGUAGGGAGAAGCUAUCAAGUUAUCCGAGAUAGAGGAGGCACUGAUGGAACACAUCCGCUUGCUAGGCUUGUAAUCGGACAAAUAAUUCAAACAGCUUUGCUAUUCAUAAGACAAUUGAGAAAUAAUUAUUUUCAAGCCGACGCUAACAAUCGUUUAAUCCAAUCUCUGAUAUGUGUGAGAUCUAUACAAGUGUUGUUGACUGAAAAUAACUGCUUCCUCCGCGCCUGGAUACUCGUCGUGGUCCGGAAAUCCAACCAGUUGUUCGUUCGAGCCAGAUCCAAACGACACCGGACAGACAACCACGGGCGGUUCUACCGUGCCGCACGGUCACGCGCCCAAUUAACCGGCCACACGGCCAAGCGAAUCCAGGAUUAAAAAUAGGAAUCGCGUACAAUUACCGGCCACCCAGCCAGGCAGCCCGCAACGAUAAACCAGCAGUCUCCCGCUCCAUGUUUGGGAGCCAUGCCCAACUACAAACCCAACGUUUCCAAGCUGGCCGCCGCGCCCCGCGACAUCCACACGGCAGAUUAACCCUUCUUCUCCUUUCCUUCCUUCCUCCCUCUCCGCGCGCGCGCGACCUCCCGCAGACCCGCCUCCGCGAAUCUAGCCACCCCCGCGCGUGCGCCACGCACCGUCCGUCCGUCGGACCUCGGCCGGGCCGGCCCGCGGUCGUCGGCGCGCGGAGGGCGUUCGUGAGAAUGCGUGCGGCGGCGAUUGGUUGCUAGCUAGCUAGCGGCAUGCCUGGCAUGAGCGCGUGAUGGCGCCGCCGUUCCUGAAGACCGGGCACGGCCGCGACAGGUUCUCCUUCAGGCGGCGGAAAUCGUCCUCCUCCUCGUCCUCCUCGUCGACGCCGUCUUCUCCGCUCUCGGUGUCGUCCACAGCGUCGGAGGACAUCGCCGACCCGGGCAGCCCCAUGGAGUCGUCAGCGACGACGGGCAAGACGCUGCCCUGCGCCCGGCGGGCGCUCUCGCGGAGCAGCUGCGGGUCCAGGGGCAAGCUGUCCGUCGACCUGAUCCCGCCGCCGCUCGCCGGCGGCCCGUCCGACGCGCCCAGGUCCUCCACCUCCGCCGCGCCGCCCCCCAAGCCUCCCCCCCGCAACGAGGGCCCGCCUUCAGGUCUCACCAUUGUUAAUUUUCUAGUGUCUGUCUGACUUUCUGUCGUCAAAUGCAGAGAAAUGCCUUGUUAUGUUUUCGUGAUCGAUUGCAUGUAUCCAGAUGCUGACAUCGUGAGGGACAAGUUCUCCAAGCUGCUGCUGGGGGAGGACAUGUCCGGCACCGGCAAAGGGGUGUCCUCUGCCCUCGCUCUCUCCAACGCCAUCACCAAUCUUGCAGGUAAUCUCUCCCUUACCUUCCAUUUCCGAUCUUUCCAUUUCCAAUAACAGUCCCUGUCUUUCAAAUCUUCCCAUUCUGUCCGUUGGGUUCUGAUGGAUACUGACACGAUCAGCUAUGAUUUCUUUCUCAUGACGUGGCACAUUGCAGCUUCCGUGUUCGGUGAGCAGCGGCGUCUCCAGCCGAUGGCCGCAGAGCCGAAGGCCCGAUGGACAAAAGAAAUUGACUGGCUUCUGUCCGUUGCCGACCACAUCGUCGAAUUCGUUCCUUCACGUCAGGUGUCCGAGGAUGGCUCCACCAUGGAGGUCAGAAACAAGAGGAUCCUUGCUUAUCACAAGUACCUGGAUGUAGUUCUGUAUCACGGAACAUCUUUAUGCAAAUCCAAUUACAGCGGUGCUAUUUUUCUCUCUCUCCCCCCAAACAGAUAAUGAUGACUCAGCAGCGUAAGGAUCUGCAGAUGAACAUCCCCGCACUGCGCAAGCUCGACGGGAUGCUCCUUGUAAAGCUCUGCCACAUUCUUCUUUGAAAUCAUUUACGAGAAUGACAUGCGUGGAGAUACCUGAUGAAUUGCUAAUAUGCUAUGGCUGCACAUUUCCUGUUGUGGGGGCACAGAGCUAUCUUGACAGCUUCAGGGACAAGCAGGAGUUUUGGUACGUGUCGAAAGACGCAGAUGACUCGGAGAAGGGAGACGCGCCGAAGCAGGAUGACAAGUGGUGGCUCCCGACUGUCAGGGUCCCUCCUAAUGGUCUGUCGGACUCGUCGAGGAGGUGGCUUCUACACCAGAGGGAGCUCGUCGGCCAAGUCCAUAAGGCAACAAUGGCCAUCAAUGCUAAUGUUCUUAUGGAGAUGGAUGUUCCAGAAGCCUAUAUGGAGUCUCUGCCUAAGGUGACCCAUAUGAACACAGCAACAUUGCAUAACAUUUUUCUUUACUUCGGUUCACUGCAUUUAGAGGGAUCGAGACUCACUUUGACAGCAUCUUCUUUUUUUAUGCUUGAUAGAAUGGAAAGUCUAGCCUUGGAGACUCAAUGUACAAGCUUAUAACUGACGAAUAUUUUGACCCAGAAGAACUCAUAGCAUCAGUAGACUUGUCAGCCGAGUACAGCAUCGUUGAUCUGAAGAACCGAAUCGAAGCCUCGAUUGUCAUUUGGCAGAAGAAAAUGACGCAGAAGGAUGCCAAGAUGUGGGGGCAUGGUGUCAGUCAUGAGAAGCGGGGACGGUUUGAGGGGAGGGCGGAGAAUGUUCUUCUCCUCCUUAAGCACAGAUUCCCCGGAAUUUCUCAGUCAGCUCUGGACAUAAGCAAAAUCCAGUACAACAGGGUACUGGCAACCAUCUUCAAUUUUCCACUGUAUUUUCGGAUUUCCUACAGUACUUUAUUACUCAUGCUCAUUGCAUACAUUUUCUCGUUGUGAUUUUUUUGCAGGAUGUUGGCAGUGCCAUUUUGGAGAGCUACUCCAGGACUCUUGAGAGUCUAGCAUACACGGUUAUGUCUCGCAUCGAAGACGUUCUUCGCGCCGACUCCCUUGCUCAAGACCCCAAGAACGCGGAGGCGACGAGAAUGCCGAGCUUAUCAUCAGAUGACACAGACACGGUCGUCCAAGAUGCCAAGGACGAGGUGGAGAGGCUGGGAAGAAUGGAGCCUCUGAACUCGACACUAUUCGACUACGUGGGCCCACGGGACGGAGAUAUCGGGCCCAUGAUGUCGGAUUCACAGGAACCUCGGGGUGCAAAGCUGUCAAAGGUUUCGUCGAUCGCAACCAAGAGGUUCUCCUACCUAGAUAAGCUUGAGAAUUUGGGUGGAACAAGGAGCCCCAUAUCUAGACACUAGUCGCUGCCGUAGGGGAAAAGACGAUCAAUAUGGUGUUGAUGUUGCUGCAGAGACUCCGGGGAAAACUGCACGUAAAUAGCUCCGCAAAAACUGAGGGUGCAGCAUGCAUUGUGAGGUUUAUGUAAGCUUUCAAGCUUUCAGGCACCAAUACCUCCAAUUUGGUGCAGUUGCCAAGACAAUGUGAUGACGAUUCUCCUGCUAAAUUUACAUGAAAUAACCACAAGAUUCUGACACUGGACCUGAAAAUGGACCUCCAGAUUUUCUUACUGUACUUCUGUAGCAAAGUUUUGUGGUUCCAGUAAAGUGUUUGUUAUCUUAGACUUGACUUGCAGACCAUGCUUGGGUUCGGCUAGUGUUCUCCCCACGUACAAUUUAAGAGGGUAAUAACAUAUCACUGAACUUGGAGAUCGAUCUGUGUUAGCUUCUGGCGUUCUAGAUCGGCACUGUAAUAAGUAACUGUAACUGUACCAUGGCUCUAUGCAUUGGGAAAUUAAAACCACUCGUAUGAGUAAAUCAAUUUACAGGAACAAAUGAGCAGUAAAAAGCAUCCUUCCGGUUGCUGAUAGUACGUGCAGCUAGGCACGCCAUAUGAGUACAUACAACGAAGGACUUAACGUCCAGAUACGCAGAUCCAUGGUACACAAGCACAGGCAUAUGCAGGAACAGAUUCAGAGAGAGAGAGAGAGAGAAAGAAACUGAAACCAAAGCUUUAAUCAAAUCAGAUCAGAUCUUGCCGCGUGGGCCGGGGGUGGGGGGAAGCUGCGGCCCCUUCUUGAUGGGCAGCAGGUCCGGCGACGUGGUGGCGCCGAGGUAGGCGAUCAGGGACCCGCCGCCGAGGAGCAGGAACUUGAGCAGCAGGCCGCGCUUGGUGAAUGGCGCCGCGAAGGUCUGGAAGAACUUGCUCUGCAGCCCGUUGUAAGGGGACGGCGCGUCGGACCCGUACAGGUCCCACUGCCCCGUCGUGUUGCCGAUGUCGUCCAGGUCGAAGUACACGCUCUUCUCCCCGUACUUCGCCUGCACCGCGACGCCUCGUGCAGGCCUGCAGGCGUACGCGCACGCGUAUAUAUACGGUUAUUUAUACGUAUGUACAUACGCUCGAUCGAUGACAUAUUAGCUCGCUUCACGUGCGUACCUGCGGGUGGAGCGGCAGAGGGAGGACGGCCGGGCGGUGGCGGCGAGCUUGCGGCCGGACAUGGAACUGCCGGCCAGGCCCUUCACGGCGGCCGACGGCUGGACGGCGACGAGCGACACCAUUGUUGUAACAGUGGGAUGUGUUCUGAGCUUCUUUUUCUUUUUUUUUUUGCUGCGGGUUACGUGCGCGAACUUGAUCCAGUGCUGGGGAUAUUUGGAAGGUGUGCUGCUGCGGGGCUGAUCAGGUUUGGGUGGGAGAGGCUUGGCGGGGAUGGGCGAGGCCCCCAUUGGGAGCGCGCCACGCGGCAGGGUUCCGGAUAGGCUUAUCCUGAUCGCUUGAUUCUUGGGAGGGAUGACAUGGCGCGGCCAACGUGGCACCGGAGCUUGCGUGGGGUUGUCCAGCUGGGAACGGGCGUCGGAAAAGAUCUCACCAGAUGUCCCCGACGGCAUCGAUCGAUCGAUCACGGUCUCACUGAGAUAUGGUGGGCCGGUGGGCCCAGAAGCCCUCUAGCUAGGUGCUAGGACAGUGCACGUAACGUACUCCGUAUUGAUCAUUGAAGGAAAGUAAAGAGAGAUAGGUAGAGAAGGACGUCCACGUACUCCGUUGCAUUUUGCAAAUGUUGCACGUACGUACGUAUCAGCACCAGGAUACAUAUGCAACGUGGGCAGGCAGAGUACGUAUAUUGUAGUGUAACGUAUUGCUAGUCGAUCUUAAGCACCUUCCGCUUGGCCGGGGAUACUAAUUAACCGGUAAAUACGGCGGAAGGGAUGUGUACAGGCGCGAUAUAUACAGUGGAUCCAGAUCUGAGAUCGAUCUAGCUGAGCCUUGCGUACGUGCUAUAUACACAUCCUCAUCCGCGAUGGGCAAGCGCAUGCAUGCAGGGUACGCUUCUACGACAAUGGAGCAGCAAAGGAAUUGACGCUACGCUACGUACAGCGAAUCGAUCAUGCACGGAUUUGCGAAUCGAUAUCUUCACGAUGCAUGGCCACAGGCAGGAUGGCGCACAAGUGUGCUGGGAGCGAGAAGACGCGACUAAAAAAAUAUGUGAAUGCGAUGAGCCGGGCCAGGCUGCCAGCUUUAAGCCCAGAUCCAGAGCGACAAGCAAGCCGUUGUUGCACGCCCAACACUACCAACAUGGACCCGCUUUUUUUCGGCGGGCCUGAAUCCACCGUCUAUACUGAUGCCCUCUGGCCCAAACGAGAAAAGAAAUACCAUACAGUACGGCCGUUUGUUUUUUGUGGGUAUACUGUACACAGGUUGGCGCGGCUAACGAAGAUGCGAGGGCACAGGGAGGCGCACCUUCCUCGGUUCAGUUCAGUUCAGUUCAGGCCGAGAUCCACCGAUCCGCGCGCGCACAGCGCACCGGUGAGAAAGCCAGCACCGACGACGCGGCGCCCCCACGCCACCAGCCAGCCACCGGCCAAACGCACUAACCAAAACCUCGCCGUCGUCGUGCGCUCCCGCCGAACCCCACCCUAGUUCUCUCCCUACUACAUCUCCACGGCGGGAGCUUUGCGCAGCUCUCCCCCGCUCCCCGUGCCACACUCGCUCCUGCACCUCCCGCUCCCCGUCUCCCUUCCCGGCCUGGGGCGUCGGUCCCCAAUUCGGGUCGGGGGGCGCCGAGGUCGCGAGGCGGAUCAGGAUCUGAUCCCGCGCGGCCGGAGCGGGAGCGGUGGGUCGGUCGAUUGGGCGGCGCCGGGAUCAGAUCUAUGCGCGAGAUCUAGCCGGGCGUGCGGGCGGCUGCUGGUGAUCGGAGCCGGACCCGGAGGGGAGUGAGGGAUGGCGUGGUGGUCGGGGAAGGUGUCGCUGGGCGGGCUGCAGGACAUCGCCGGCGCCGUGAACAAGAUCAGCGAGAGCGUGAAGAACAUCGAGAAGAACUUCGACAGCGCGCUCGGCCUCGAGGAGAAGCGCGACGACGAGGAAGGUAUGCGCCACUCAUGCUAAAGCCGCCCCCCCCCGACCCGACCCCUUUCCUCCCGUGUAGCCGCCUAGCCGGGCAGCAUUGGUGCAUGCUUGGCUGCGUGCAAGUGUCGAUUGGGAACUGCGAUGGGAUUUUUUUGGUUGAAUACUGCACUGGGUCAUGGGAUUGUCACUGGCGGUAAUGCUGUUUGUAGCGUUGUUCAUGCGAUGAUUGGUUAGUUAGCUAUCGAUAGUGUAUACUGACUGAUGUGAUUGUAGGAAGCAGAAGUUUGAAUUCAGGUCAUCGCUGGUUCCAUUGCUCUCGCAGCUUCUUAUGUAGAUAGAUUAUUGCUUAAGUCUCGGACUCUGUAAAUUGGUCAAGCAAAACCCCAGUCCCUAAGUUUCGUAUUUAUCAGCUGCUGCAUUAUUGAUCAUUGAUUGGUCUAGCCAGAUCAUAAAAACUUAUACAUACUUCUUAGUAGCGUUGGCAUUACAACAGAUUUUGUAUUGCUCUUUCCUUUUGAGAAGUAAUGGAACUUGGAGGCAGUGAAUUCAUGCCUAUUCUCAUAACUUUUUUCCAAUAGUUUUUGUUCUGAGUAGCAUCGCUAGGAUGAGCAUAUUUGGAGAAUAUAUAGCUUCUAAUUGUUCAUUUACAUGGCUAACGUGAGACCCAAAAAAUGUGUUUUUGGGUGAUCCAGGAUCAGGAUCACGUACAUCCAACUCUGAUGGAAUAGGAUUCUUUAAUCCUGUCAUGGCAUUUAUGGGACAAAAUGGUGAGGAGAACUCUACGGAAGUAUCAGAAAAGCAACAAUUGCCAAUACAUUCGUCAGCAGAAGAAGAAAAUCAUAGGGUCACCACCGAGCCAGCUACAUCUGAAGCAGAUGCUUCUGAAGUAUCAGUAACAACCCAAUCUCCAAAGCAGCUUCCAAAAUUAGAAGAGAAUGUCAGCAGCUCCACUGAGCUACCUGUAUCUAAGGUGGAUGUUCCUGACCAAUCUGUAACACCGCAAGCUCCAACACAUCCUUCAGCAUUAGAAGAAAAUAAUGGUGGCUCCACUGAGUCACCUACAUCUAAGGGGGCAACUUCUGAAGUAUCAGAGACACCGCAGUCCCCGAUACAUCCAUCUAUAGCCGAAGAAAAUUCUAGUGGCUCCAUUGAAACUAGUAACUCAGUUGAGAGGGAAAAUCAGGGUCACGAAGGUAAUGAAUAUUCUGAUCCCAAUGACGAAGCUUUACCGAGCCAGCUUGGAGUGUCCGGCAGGGACAUACCUGGUGGUGGAACAUCUUCACCUAAUAAAUUAGAUCAAUCAAGUGUUAUUGGAGCAGAAGAAUCUAUUCAUGAUGGAAAGGAUGACACAAAUGGUAACCAGUCACAGCCAGCAGAUUCCACGGUAGCCAGUUCAGAUGAUGUAAAUGAAGGCAAUAAGAUUGGUCAAGAAUUUGAUGCCCAAAAGGAAAUAAUCAGCCCACAUGAGAGCAAUGUUAUCGAUGACAAAGCCAGUCAUGUGGAAGUCAAGUUACAUGACGACGCUGCUGAGAAUGAAGAAGAAAACAGUCAAACAGAAGCACAUGCAGUAUCUGUUGUUGAAAAUGUGGAUAAUACAGUGUUGCAACUUGAAAACCCUACCUCAAAGUCGAUAACUAUGGAUGAUGAUUCAGACUCGCAAAAUGAGUUAGCACCCGCUUCUGUACAUGUUCCUGUUGGUCUUGUAGAAGUUGGUUCUCAUGCAAAUGAUUUGAGAAAAGAAGAAAAGAUUCAUGACUCUGUAACAACCAUAAAUUCUCGAGAAUCUGUUGGUUCUGUUGUUGAACUAGAGAAACUAAGACGUGAAAUGAAGAUGAUGGAUGCUGCAUUGCAAGGUGCUGCAAGGCAGUCCCAGGUAUCAUUUCCAAAAUCCACAUGCUCUAGCAUCUACUGUAGCAAUUAAGUUAGUAACAUGUUUGGUUGAGGAACUAGACAGUGAGUAUAUCAUCCGAUUCUAGCCCACUUGUUUGGGUUGAGGAAUAGACUCGGUUAGUCCAACACCACUUCAUCCUUCAUAUGCAUGAGAUUGGCACUAAUGGGAAUUGAGUCAUCCCACCAAUUUGAUUGAUCAUCCCAUGUUGAGGCAACUCAUCUUGGAUUGAGGCAAUCCCUCGAACUAAAUACCCCCUUGAUGCAUGUGUGGUUGAACUUGUACAUUAUGAAAGUUACUCCUGGAUGAUUCAACUUGGAAGCAAACCUUUAGUGCAAUCUGUUUGAACCAAUGAGUGCUUGCUAAAUUGUCUGUAUAUGUACCUUUUUAUUCAGUCUGAAUCUAGUUUACCCGUGAUGUGGAUUCAUCUCAUAUUUUCCUUUUUUUGGGGUGUCAUGCUUUACGGAAAAAAACAUAAAAUAUGUACAGUUAUCUAAUAUUUCAAAGUGCUUUGUAGUGUCAGAAAGGAGCAUAUCAUGCAAUUAUCUUUCUUCUUUUCUGAGUAUUAUAUUCUGAUGCACCGAGCCGGUCAUGAGGUAUUAUGUGCUUCAGAUGCGUUCUUAACAAUGAUCGUCAAAACAUUGUAUAAUUUGAAUGGCCUAUGGCCCCAUGUUAGUCAUUUCUUUGCAACAUACAUGACCCUUCACCACCUAUUUAGGUUCUAACAACACUUUAUUUUUCCUACAGUCCAAAGCUGAUGAAAUUGCUAGACUGAUGAAUGAAAAUGAGCAAUUGAAAUCAGCAAUUGAUGAGCUCAAGGUAUGUUUGCUAAGCAGAUUCCUUAUCUUUUGCCUUCUGGACAUAAACAUUUGGGAUGUCUUUCAGUUAAUUAACAAAAAAAGGAUGCCUUCGGUUUAGUAAUCACCACAAUUUUGAGUUGAAUUAUGUGAAAAUAAACAAGAUAAAUACUGAGUUGCUUGGCAGCUCCUUUAGCCUUUGAUGAGUGUUAUAAUAAAUUUUUUUACUGUACAGGGUAAGUCAGCUGAAGAAGAAAUGGAUGCUCUCAAGGAUGAAUAUCACCAAAGAGUAGCAACUCUUGAAAGGAAGGUGAGACACAUUACUUUUGUUACUCAGUGCUACUAUUGACAGUUGAUCAUUGCGUAUUGCAUACGGCAACCUGAUUUAGGACUAAUAAUCAUGGAGAACAGAUAGAUACAAGUGCGCUAAAUGCCGCUAAGACCAGAGGGUUGAUAAACAAUAUACGAUAUUACUCACAUACAAUAUUGUAAUUACUAAUUACAAUCUUCAUGCUUUUUGUGCGGUGGUAGGCCUGGUAAUGGGGCUAAGCCCGCACCGAAUCCAAACCACACCAUAACAUCUCACGUGUAUUUCCCAAUCGCAACCAAACCAGAAGUGAAAUUAGAAAACCCAAACCACACCGCACCGUACGACUUCUCCAUCCAAUCCGCACCAAACCAAUUCAGAAACCGCAGGCUCCGGCACCACGGUCAGGCUUCGAUGGAGAUAGGCGGAGGGAGGCAGAAGCGGGGAGAUUGAAGGGCGACCGGUGGCGGAGGGUGUUGGACCUUGGGGACACUGGCGACGUGCAGAUCGGGAGGAAAAUGAUGUUGGGGAGCAGAUUGGGAGGAAGACGAUGUGGGGGAGCCGGUUACAGUUUACGAAGAAGAGGAGGCAGGGGGCGCCGGCGGCGGAGCGCCGGAUCAGGCAAGGGCGGCUGGCGGUGGAACGCCGGAGCAGGCAGGCGACGACAUCGGGAGGAAAACGAUGUGGGGGAGCCGGUGACAGUUGACAAGGAGGAGGAGACAGGGGGCACCGGCGACGGAGCGCCGGAUUAGGCAAGGGCGUCUGGCGGCGGAACGCCGAAGCUGGCAGGUGGCGGCGAGCGCAACCCCGUCACCAUCACAAGGGGAAGUUGAGGCCGUGCCAUCAUGGUCUUUGUUAUUCCAAGUGGUGUUCAUGGGCUGAAACCAAGGUUGGAGACCACGGUCUGAGCCCAAUUCAGUUCUAGACCGGUCCAAACCAAACCGCACCAGUCCAAACCGCAUUUGUACUAAUACCAAACCAGCCCAGACCGAUUUUCUAUCCCAUCCAUUUGAAACCGCACUGUUUGAACCCGCAUGCAAAACCCGCACCAAAAAAACCGAACGAACCUGCACCAUUACCAGGCCUAUGCAGUGGCUCUAUUUUGUUAUUCUUUUUUUUUGCAUUCUUUGUUUUAAUGGUAAAAUAAUCAAAGAUUCUCUUCUGUGCUUUAAACUUUGAACUUUAUGUUAAUGGUAAAAUCAUGGUAAAAUAAUCAAGCUAUUUAGCUACACUUUGAACUUCUUUUUCCUGCAAUUCUUCUAUUGUUGAACCCUUUGACUAGCUGGGGCGCAAUUACAUUUAUUGCACUAUGGUUAAUUUUGUUUUUCUCUUAAUUCAGUUCAUCAAGAAAUUGAGUUGAUAUUUAAUACUAAAGUUGUGUUUAGAGUGAGGCAAUGAGCUGCAUUAGUAAGGUUCCUUAGAAUGCUAUUGUCAGAAUCUCAUAAUCCUCUAUGUCAUUUUUUGUCCCUUCCGGGUUCAUAACUUAUAUUGCCAGUGUCCUUGUUCAUAUAUACAAUUAAUCUUGUGCAUAGCACUGAAAUGUUUGUAAUGUGCAUGCCUCAAUGUGUGUAGGUUUAUGCACUAACCAAAGAACGAGACACAUUGAGGAGAGAGCAAAAUAAGAAAAGUGACGCGGCUGCUCUUUUGAAAGAGAAGGACGAAAUUAUCAGUCAGGUUAUGGCUGAAGGUAUGCAUAAUUGUGAUUUUUAUGCUUACUGAACAUAUUUUAACUAAUGUUAAGUCAAAAUAUGUUCUGUUGUAUUGUUGAAAACAAUAUGAAAUUGCCUUUUCUAUUAUUUAAAGACAUCCAGUGAACAUUCCAAAUAUUAAUGUUACCAUACGUUAUGUUGCACCGUGUCGAGCACCCUUUAUUGAUUAGAGUCAUUUCAAUCGUGACUUCAAUGAUCAUGCAUGAAUAUGUACAUAUUAGUAAGAUUAGAAAAAUAUGUAAUUGCCUCCAGAACAUGGAUAUAAGACCAUAAAAAUGACAUCACAAACUUUUAAACCACCUAUCACUUCUGUAUGGGCCUGUACUCUGCAGUUUAUCGUGUGAUAUUUGGAAGUUUUGUGUCUUUAAGCUAGCCUUGGUUGAGUGCCUUACUGCUUUGGUUGGAGCUGAAGUCCUUGGCUCUCUGCUGUAAGGCUCUGAUCUGGCUACCAAUGGUAGUUGUAGAUAACUAGGUAUUAGGCAUGCACAUUUUCUUUGUGAAAAGGGCCUAAUGCCCUAAUGUGUAAGUUUGCCGUUAUUCCUCCAUCCGCUGCUUUAGACCAUGUACAUACUAUAGCCCCCCAUGUGAUCAUGUUCACCUUUUUAGUAUGUUCUGGACCAUGAUUGGCAAUGACACUAACAUCUUGUUUUUACCAAUGGAACAGGCGAAGAGCUAUCCCGAAAACAAGCUGCUCAAGAAGCUACUAUACGGAAACUGAGGACGCAGGCAUGGGAUAUGACUCUAUAACCAUACUACUUCAUCAAAAUUAUAAAGUAGGUUUUACCAAAGUAAUCAAGUUUGCUUUCUUUUUUUUGGUUGAAGCUAGGUUCGUGAGCUUGAAGAAGAAAAACAGCGGAUGAACUCAAAGAUCCAGGUAAAAAGGAAAAUCAACUUUGUUUUAUUAAUGAAUGAAUAAAUAAAUUAAUUGACCCCAACUAAAUUAUUUUCUUAUCUGCUUUAAUAUCAUAAAGUAUUUUUCUUUGCUGUUUGCAUGAUUAAAAAAAUCAUUUCUGAAGCUAUUUUUUAUUGUUUGUUUAUUCCUAUUUGUUUUGUUCCAUUUGAACAGUAGUUUGCAUCACCCGUACAGCUUGUUUACAGUUUCAUGAGUUCGUUACAGUCAGACAUGCUUUUUUCUUUCUUACUUGGUUGAUGGGCAACUCUGAAAUAUUGCACUCAGAGAUUAUGGAGUUGAUCUUCAUCCUUUUUGUUUGCUCUCAGGCUUCAAGUGCAGUCACUAACUCAGCAAUUUUCUGACUUUACAGGUUGAGGAGACAAAGGUUGAGAGUAUUAAAAGAGACAAGGCAGCAACCGAGAAGUUGCUACAAGAAACAAUAGAAAGAAAUCAAUCUGAACUUGCAGCUCAGAAGGAGUUCUACACAAAUGCUCUUAGUGCAGCAAAAGAGGCUGAGGCAUUAGCUGAAGCAAGAGUCAACACUGAAGCCAAAGUUGAGCUUGAGAGCCGUUUGAGAGAAGCUGGUGAAAAAGAAAACAUGCUGAUUAACACAAUUGAUGAGUUGAGGAAUGCUCUCACCAGACAAGAACAGGAGGUAUGCUAUGAAAAUAUUCGUCUGCACCUGUGCAUCUGUAGUUCAACAUCCUCGGUACAAAUAGUGUGUAUAUUGUGCUGAUCUAACCAUAAUCUACAUUUGACUCCUGGAUAAAAACUUCAUCUGAUAAUUAUUGUUUUAGCUGCCCACUUUCGAUUCACUGAUUGCAAGUAUUUCUUUCGUGGCAUUUCAGGCAGCUUUCAGGGAAGAAAGGCUAAAAAGGGAUCAUGAUGAUCUUCAAAAGCGGUACCAAGUAAGCUCUUCUGUUUUAGCUGCUACUACAGAGUACUGUAGUCAUGGACCAAUUCUCAAUUUCUUUCAUUAUUUAAUACUUCAGGCCAGUGAACUUCGUUAUAAUGAACUGGUUACACAAGUUCCUGAGUCGACCAGGCCACUCCUAAGGCAAAUUGAAGCCAUGCAGGUAUGAGUGCUUGCUUUGGAUUUUCCUUGUGCUGUAAUUGUUUCGCUGUUCUUCUGUUAGUUGGUGUAUGCAUCCGAGUCUGUGAAUUGAGUUUUUCUGCUGUUGUAAGUUGGCUAAUCAGUUGUGUUUUAAUUUUAACAGGAGUCAGCUGCUCGAAGGGAAGAAGCUUGGACUGGUGUGGAGAGAACCUUAAACUCUCGCCUUCAGGUCAAUUCUGUUCUGAACUUUUGGUUUAACAGUGAUGUGCAGAAAAACAAUGGAGAAAACUAGAACUACAACAUGGACCUUAAAUUGUUAUAAAUGUGCAAUGAGCAGGGACAGCAGAACAAAAUGGACAUAAACUUUGACAUUAAGUCAUUAAUAACUGUUUUCUUGUAGUUAUUUAUGCCUCUGCAAAUGUACAGAUAAAGAGGAGUGGUUGGGUGCUAUCUAUCUUUAGUGCAGUCGGGCAGUGUCAGGAACACAAACAUAAAUAUUUCACUGACAUAGUUUUAUCUGUCCUACUCAAAUAUGCAGGAAGCAGAAGCAAAAGCUGCUGCCUCGGGAGAAAAGGAGCGGUCCAUAAAUGAGAGAUUGUCACAAAGUUUAUCACGCAUAACUGUUUUGGAGACCCAGGUUUGUGCAAUAAUUUCUUCUAAAAACAAAAACUUGUGACAUUAUUGUAAGUCAACCCGGGUUUUUGGCAACAAUUUGGGGCCUUUAGUAAGAAAAGUAUUUAUUUUGAAAUGAACUUUGUGUCUUGUGCAGAUUACAAUUCUUAGAACAGAGCAGACACAGCUGAGCCGAUCUCUUGAAAAAGAGAGGCAGAGAGCAUCUGAAAGUAGACAGGAGUACCUUGCAAUUAAGGAGGAGGCGGCAAUACAAGAAGGACGCGCCAAGCAACUUGAAGAAGAAAUAAAGGAGCUUAGAGCUAGGCACAAAAAGGAGUUGCAAGAAGCAGCAGAACACAGGGGGCUGCUUGAGACGGUAGUCAAUUUUCUCUGUGAAUCACUUCCUGAAAAGAACUGGAACUACAUGUAUACGGAGCAAUGUUUCUGCUGCCAAUUUCAUUGAUGAGACCUAGAAACACUUUGUUUAACAUAUGACAUAAAAUUUGAACUUUGGAGGCUAUCUUAUAGCAGGCCUAUUUUAGGAUCAACCGGUAUUUGUUUACUUCGUUGCUUUCCCUACGUGAAGAAAAUUAGUUUUAAAUGUCACUAAUCAUGUGCCUGCCAUUAGAUCUUCUAGUUCAUACAUUACCAACUUGGCAACAAUUUAAUGUGUCUAUUAAAUUCUUGCGUCAAUUGCAACUUCUGAAUUUCAGGACCUUGAAAGGGAAAAGGCUGCCAGAGCAGAACUUGAGAAAACAUCUUCCCGGGAGCCACCUAAAAUUCCGCUUCCAGAUCAAACAAGUAUGCUCUUUCUUGGCCUCUGAUUAGUUUCUGUAAGUUCAAUCCAGCUUUUCUUUUUUGUUGCCUUACCUGUGACUCUGUUGGUUUCCUCUUUGCUUUUCUUGAAGGAAAUGCUCCUGUCAGAAGGCUCUCUAGUGCUUUGAGUGUUGGCAGCCUGGAAGAAAGUCAUUUCCUUCAAGCAUCAUUGGACUUAUCAGAUAGUUCAUCAUUGGAGAGGAGAAUGUCAGCAGAAAAUAAUAUGUCAUACUAUCUGAGGAGCAUGACUCCAAGUGCUUUCGAGUCAGCACUCCGUCAAAAGGACGGAGAACUGGCUUCUUACAUGUCACGCUUGGUAUGUAUAUGUGCGGAUGCAUCCUUCUAAUAUUUCUCCUAAACUAUUUUAUUUUAUUUUCUUGCUAUAUAUAUAAAUUUGAUAUUACUUCUGGAAACUGACAUUUGCUGAUUAUUCAAGCUAUUAUUUCAUAAAGUAUAUUGGAGUAGAAAGCUAUUUUUAGCCGAUUUACACCUGAACUUGUGCAUUAUGGAUGUCUAAAAUAUUUCUAGUUAAGUUUAGCACUAGCUUGUGCAUACACACACUAUUUCACACUCCCUUUAAAAAUUGGUGAAACUAUAUCAAGUUGCUGGCAAACCCUGAGCCCAACUGUAUGUUGCCAUAUAGCGUUUUUUUUUGGCUGUUUUCAUGAGGUGCCUGGUUACCUAACUUAUAUCAUUCAGCAUCAUCUAGAAUGUAGUGGGCCAUUUACUCCCUGGACAUUGUAUCAAGCACUCAUCAGUCCCAUACUAGUUUUAAAACCCUACGGGUUAAUUACUACAAAUUCAUGUGUCAUUCUCAUAUAUCCUAAUUUGUGAAGAAGCAGGAGCGGUAGCUUGGAAUAGUUCCACGACUUGUGUUUUCAUAAGAUGUUUUACCUUUACAUGUUUUGCCCACUAGAAUGGCCUACACCAUUUGAAGCCAUCUAUGCUGGCAACGUUUCCGUAUCUGUUUCAUGUUCUAUCAAACAAUCUUCAGUCCCAUACUGGUUUUAAAAGCCUAUGUGUUAGCUACUACAAAUUUGUGUGUCAUUCUCGUAUAUCCUAAUUUCUGAUGAAGUGGAAGCAAUAGCUUGAAAUAGUUCUGUGACUUAUGUUUCCAAAAGGAUGUUUCUUUUAUCAUGACAUCAGGUCACCCUCAAAUGUUCAUCAUUUAGGUUAGGUUUAGGAUAUGAUAUGUUUGUACUACUUGUGCUACAGCCUUGAGAGCAUUGUCGUAGACUCCUUGGGUAUGCAAUUGUUCUAAUACUUCGGCCUUCAUGCUUUAGUACGCUAAUCUCUCUUGCAAUUGGCACUGAAUAAAUGUCACUUUUAUAUUACAGGCCUCAUUAGAAUCUAUUCGGAAUUCUCUGGCGGAGGAGUUGGUGAAACUGACAGAACAAGUAAAUCAUUGUGAACCAACUAGACUAUAAUUUCAUUAUAUAUGCGGGUGCUAAUUGAACUGGUUUCGUAUGCAGUGUGAAAAAUUGCGGACUGAAGCUGCUGCUCUGCCUGGCCUAAGGGCUGAACUGGAAGCACUGAAACAAAGACACUUUCAAGCUCUAGAACUUAUGGGUGAACGUGAUGAAGAGGUAUUUCUCACAUGCAGUGCAUCUCACCAUUACUCUCUGUGUUAUUGACUUGUACCACAAGAUACACCAACAAUAUAUAAUCCGUCAUUAUAUUUAGUCUCAUAUCAUAUGGAAAAGGGAGUCCUCUUCAUGAAUCAAAUUGUGGUAGCGAGCUUACAUAGUGGAAUCCUGUAAUUAACUUCACUAAUUAGUAACCUGGAAUUUCUACACUAAGUAGCUUGUAGUGACUUUUGGUGAUUGCAACCUAGCCCACAAACCCAGCUGUUUCAGUCAUAAAACCUGUAACUCGUCUGGUUUUAGAUUUGAUGUUGUUUUUCAAACUUUGGUUAUUGAAAUGUAAACAUCUAUUCGCUGUAAUUUGUUGAAAAUGAGGGUCUGUAUAGAAAUUGCCAUGGUAAAGGAAAACUAGAGGUGACCUGGUCUCAGUUUACGGGGUGGUUACUGGUUGCUAACCACCGGUUGGAACUGCCAUGAUGGCUGGGACUCUGGUUACAUUUUUAUGCACACUCUGUAGCUGCCGUAUAAGAUGGUCCUGAAAAAUGUUUUAGUAAAUUCAAUUAAUAUGACCUAUUACCAAUACUACUUUCUGUUAACAAUGGAAUGGACCCAUGCAUAAGCUUGACAAUGAACUAGUUGUCUGACAGUUGGCAUAAGCUGCCUAAUUUAACCUGUCCGUAUUAGUGUCUUCUCAAAGGGAUGUGAAUUCAAUGCGACAUUGUGUGUGCACGAUACACUUUCGGAUAUCUUUGUAUUAUUGUUCCGUAGACCCUUACCUUCUAUUUCUUUCAUACUUAUUAUGAAAAAAAAUCUGUGCUGUUUUGCAGUUAGAAGAGUUACGAAAUGAUAUUGUUGACCUAAAGGAUAUGUACAGAGAACAAGUGGAUCUUCUUGUUGGCCAGGUUUGAAGUAUAUUGAUUUAAAUUCUGCUUGUCAUUGCGGAACCCUGAAAUGUGUUGCCCUAAAACAUCAAUUUUCCUUUUAUCAGCUCCAGACAUUGGGCGCUCGUGUAUAGCAGUGAAUUUGACAUCCCAUUUAAUUUUUAAUGCACUGCAUCGACCGAGACCAAGAUAACAAUUUUGAAGCCUGAACAUGUUUCUUCAGAAUUCGAACUGAUGCGAGUGUGGGAAGUUCAUAAUCACACAACGAGUGAAGAUAUUAUUUGUGUACAUUUUGAAGCAUCUUUGUUGUUGAAUUUAGUAGGAUAGUUUGUUGUAUACUAGAUUGAAUAGCUUCACAGUUUUACGUUUACAGAAAUUGCAAAAAAAUAAUUUACUGAAGUGUACCAAAUUUGGAACCUACAAGUGUAUGUCGACGUCUCUAAUAAUAUGGAGAUCCUGUUUUGACAGCUUUGUCAGGUUUUCUGUCACUCUGUAAUCCAGGAUUACUUAGUUUGAUUUUUUGCUAGUUUGGAAAGACUAAAAUAUAUUAGAUUAAGACCGCGUAUUGUGAUGUUGCCGCAAAGAAAUGUAUCCAGCCUGGGGAAAAGCUUCAUUCCCAGGUGCACAAUAAGGGUUGUAAAUGCACAGGAAUAGGAAAAGCACGUGACUACAAUAUCAUGCCCCAAAUUGUAUAGGAUUGUGUUUAUGCCAACUUUUUUUUUAUAUAAGUGUUUACUCAAAAGUUUGUUUGAUUCGAUCAUAGUAAGAAAUUUCCAACAGGUUUGAUCAAUAGAAAAUUUCCUAUGAAAUGUGGUUCAAAGAAAUUCUAAGAAAAAUAUCUAUAAAUUCAAUCCUACAAAUCAAACAACAAAGAUAGCAAAAUUUCCUAAGGACUUGCAUUGAAAUAUUGGAGGAUUGGAAAAGUUCCUAAGGACUUGCAUUGAAAUAUUGGAGGAUUGGAAUACUUAGAUUUUUUUUUUCCGGUGGGUUGUUUGAUUUGAAAGUUGAGUCGGGUGGGAAAUCUUUCUUUAGGGUUCUUUUGCACUGUAUUUUAUAAAAAAAGAAAUCUUUUCAUUCAAACCUUUAGUGAAGAUUCAUUUGUUUUUCCUUGAUUCAAUCAAACACAACAUUGAUGUCACCACAAUCUUGUAUUCAAAUAGGCAUGGCAUUGCAAUCCUAUUUUUCAAAUCCUACGAAUCAAAGAGAACCUAUGGAACUUUACAAGAUUACGAUGUUAACAUAGAUUGGAGUUGCAAUGAAGGAUUUUAUGUGAGAACCUAGCUUUGCUGCGAAUUAAAUCUCAAACACUAGAUUUUACGAGAGAACCCAACUUCGUAGCGGAUCAAAUGUCAAAACGCCGCCAAAGAGACGGUAUGUUUGAUACCACUCAGUCAGAUCCUUCUACGUGUGAUCGACAAUUCACCAGAAGAUACUUUCUUUUGUCCUGAUGUUGUUGCCAGAGCAAUCUGGCUUUGUAAUUAUCCAAUCUUUUGAUAACUCCUCUAGUUUGCUUUGACGAAAGACUGACAUGUGCAAAGAAACACUACUUAUACUGUUAUACAUGCCUCCAAUAGAUUAAAAAAAACUUUUACAGCCUUCCAACUUCUUUUCAACUCUUUCCUCUUUAGGUUCCCAAUGAGAAUUGCUCAGUCUUUUAACGUCCACUGGAAUUCCCUCAUAAGUUAAGGGGAGACUACCCAUGUUAAAAUCGAAAAUUUUACUAGAACAAACACUUCUUUGAGCAAAAUCUCUUACACGGUACAACUCGCUCUUAUGAAAGUUAACUUUCUGACCAUGAACUAGCUCAAAAGCACAUAAAACGAAUUUUAAGUUUUUGUCGUGGACCAGAUCAUCCUUAAAUUGACAAGCCCCCCCCCCCCCCCCUUCUGCUUAAAAAGGGAUAAAAAAAGGGAAACAUGAGUUGUUGAACUGCCAUUCGAGUCCAUGGUUUUUUUUUUCUUUUCUUUUUUCUAGAAUACACCCAAGCAGGUGUAUCAUAUAUUGAAGGAGGAUUCCGCGACGCAUUUACAUGCCCGUAGGCGCCAGUAAAGCGACCAUUCUAUUACAUUCCACAAGGGAUCCACUAGACUAGAAAGCGAAAAAUCUACACUAUGAAAAAGACCCGCGCUCGACCAUGCCCUUCCUUCACUGUUGAUCAUUUGUUGUAUCUUUCUAGCACUCGGAGUUGCUGCAUCGAACACCACCGAGUUCCUGUGCUUCCAGAGGCACCAGCAGAUGAGAGUAAUGCUAGUGUUGAGGUUCCUCUUCUCUUUCUUGCCUUGCACCACAAGGCUCGUCCACCAUUCGGCAAGAGAGGCUUGCGGAGUAGGGAGCCAGCAAAGCCUGUUCCAGCCCCGCAGCGAGGUCGACCACACUUCCCGAGCCACGACGCAACCAAGAAGAAGAUGGUCAAUGGUCUCAUUGCUUUGAUCACACAAAGGACAGCGUGCCGGGUGGGGCAAACCCCGCUUCGAAAGCCUAUCCGCCGUCCAACAACUAUUUUUUAGAGCCAACCACAUGAAUGUCUUGCACUUAGUUGGCGCCUUGGAGGACCAGACCUCAGUAGCCCCCGCAGCAAGCACACGACCCCGGAAGAAAGCCGCGUACGCAGACGAGGCCGUGUAGGUCCCAUUGUCGCUCCAUUUCCAAUGGAAACGAUCAUCAUCGUAUGAAAGAAUCACCUCAGCCACGCGGUCAUGAACCACCAGAAGAUCCACAAGCGCCUGAAAGCAGAGCUCCGGGUGGAUGGCCCGAAGCCAACCAUUGGCAUGCAAAGCCUCGGCCACAGAAAGCCUGGAUGCCCUACGCAAGAUCUCCGAUAGCAGCGUAGGCGCCAAAUCCGCAAGUGAACGCCCCUCCGGUAGCCAAGGAUCAUACCAAAAAUGUAGAGCUUCACCAUUCCCCCUUGCCACCUCAAUCGCCGCCUCACAAAGUGCCCUGGCCUGUUCCGGGAUUUGGAUGUUGAAUUCAGCCCAUGGACGCGUCGGGUCCACAUGACAUAGCCACCCCCAUCGUGUUCUGAGUGCAAGAUUGAGAAGCUUCAGAUUAGGGAUGCCUAAACCACCAAUCUUGCGAGGGGAACUGCCUUUCCACAAGAACACACGACAUAUCUUCUCUAUGCCCGCAAUGGUCUUCAUAGGAAGGUUGAGAGACAUCAUGACAUAGACCGGCGUAGCUGAGAGGGUCGAUCUAACAAGGGUGAGCCAUCCCCCAAGAGUAAGCAUAGGGACGGACCAUGUCUGGAGCUUAUUCGCCACCUUGUCCACCAUAGAUGAAAGUUGAGUUGCCGUUGGCUUCCGAAGCCCGAGAGGUAAGCCCAAUUAGGUACAUGGGAAAGGCCCCACCUCACAACCAAGCGUGCAAGAUCAAUGGUCUUGACAAAGAUAUUUAAAGACUUGUAUUGUGCUACCGAAUUCAUAUUAGCAAACGUGCAAGAUCAAUAUUUGUUUAGUUUUUUUUUGACAACAUAGAUCAAUAUUUGUUUAGACACGAUGAUUGAGCGAGUACAUGCGAUGUAACAGUCGGAAAAGGUUUCACACAAGUUCAUUUGUCAGUGAACAAAUUAUCUGCAUUGCAUUUUUUCAUAACAAUACAUGGACGUCUGUUCCGUUGGGCUCAAAAAGAAUUAAACAAAAAAUAAACGUCGACAGCAGGAUUCGAACCUGCGCAGGCAAAGCCCAACAGAUUUCGAGUCUGUCUCCUUAACCACUCGGACAUAUCGACCCACUUGGUCUUUUAUUCCUCUCAGUAUUUAUAUACAUGACUAUUCUGUUAACAGAUUGAUGAUUUUUUGUCAUUGCUAUAACCAUCUUUUACAAAAUAUUUGAAGCUUGCAGCAGAACAUGUAAACAUUUAUUCCUUUGAGAUGCGGGGUCAUAAUUUCUGCAAAAAAAAAACUCUGUACCCUUUUCGCAAGAAAAGAAGGAGAGCUAUCACCUGAGUACUCCGUAUUUAGCAUUCUUUAAUUUACAUACUAGUGCUCUAGAAAAAAGUUGCAUAUAGCUUCGUUGCCAAAUCAGACGGGCACUCGGGGCUGCAAUUGCAUGAUGGGCAAUUUGCCAUGCAUUAUUUGACGGAGUACCAACACGGAACACCCGGAAGCGUGAGGCAGCAGGUGCAUUCUUCAGUCAUUCAGUCCAGCCUUCCCUUUCGGUUUCUCCGCUGCCCUUGCCUAGCUAGGCUAAGCUUGUUUAGCUCGUAACAUUUCAAUGUUAAGUUUGCUAUCUUCCAAUGAGGAGUCCACUGUAGUAGCAUUAGCAGUUGGGUUGGUAUGGCCAUCUUGGUAGCUUCUUCUAGCCUCGGGACUUUACAAUCGAAUGCAUCAAUGCAAGAACAUAUGCAUUGUGAUGUACUAACAAGGAUCGAUAAGUAGAAUGAAAUCUGUGUCUUGUUCCAUUAAAUGAUGAUUAUAUUUAUACAAGAGGAAGGGACACCAAUACAUGCAUUGGUGUCCCAAGUUUUGGGCAUUCGCAUCCCGACACAGACGGUUACAACAUUGACUGCCUAAUUAACCAUUAAUUAACUAAUAAUUAAUUCUAAUUGAUCAUAAAUAAUUAUUCUCAACACUCUCCCUUGAUCAAUUUGCUCCAUUGAUUUGUAUAUUCUUGAAUCAUCAUGAAAUCUUGUAAUUUCCUCUAAAAACCCUAUGGGAAAAAUAUUGAGGAAAUAAUAAUAAUAUCGAUAUGUUAUGAAAAACUCCCUUUAAAAAUCCAAUGGGAAAAAUAAGGAGAAAAUGGUAUAACAUAUUUUGAAUAUUGUCUCUUGAUAAUUCAUAUUGAAUUAUAUGAACAAUAAAUAUGCCUUGUAUAUUAUCCACAAAAAUCCCGGUGGGGAAAAUAUAAAAUAUGACAUAUAAUCUUAUGUUAAUAUUGUCUCAUUAAAAACCUUUUAUGAGAAACUAGUGAGUAAAACUCAUAAUAGGAAAAGAGUGCAAUAUGAUGUUAUGAACAGGUUAAAUUCAGGUGAAUACUCCCCCUAAUGCUUGCAAAUUUUUAAGUCGUCGCAUACCAAUCCCAUGUACACAUUUUUUAAAUGUGGAGUUGGGUAAGGACUUAGUGAACAAAUCUGCGAGGUUAUCACGUGAUUUGGUUUGCAAGAUAUUUUUCUCCCCAUUUUGUUGUAAUUCAUGAGGAUAGAAUAGUUUAGGUGCAAUAUGUUUAGUUAUAUUGCUUUUUAUAUAACCUGUUUGCAUCUGGGCAACACAAGCAGAAUUAUCCUCAUAGAUAAUUGUUGGUGAUUCAAUCAAACCAAUACCACAUGAUUGUUGUAUAUGGUUAAUCAUUUUGCAUAGCUAUACACUUUCACGAGAUGCUUCGUAUAAAGCUAUUAUUUCUGAAUGAUUUGUGGAUGUAGCCACUAUAGUUUGCUUAGAAGGCUUCCACGAUAUGACUGUCCCACCGUGUAGGAACACGAAACAGGUCUGGGAUCUGGCAUUCUGGGGAUCAGAUAAAUAGCCAGCAUCAGUGUAUCCGAUUAAUUCAGAGUCUUGGUUUUCCUGUUGGAAAUAUAGACAUAGAUCUUUAGUGCCUUGUAGGUAGCGAAAAACUUGCUUGACUCCUACCAAUGACGUUUUGUUGGAGCUGCGCUGUGUCUAGCUAGUAAAUUUACAGCAAAUGCAAUAUCUGGCCGGGUGCAAUUUGCUAGGUACAUUAAUGCUCCAAUGACACUAAGAUAUGGGAAUUCAAAUCCUAAAAUUUCCUCUCCAUCACCUUUUGGUCUGAAUGGAUCUUUCUCUACGUCUAGAGAUCAAACUACCAUAGGUGUUUUGCAUUGAUAGGAUUUGUCCAUGUUAAAUUUCUCUAAGAUUUUCUGGAUAUAUGUAGCUUGGUGAACCAAUAUUCCCGAAGGAAGGUACUCAAAUUGUAAACCUAAGCAGAACUUGGUUUUACCCAAAUCUUUCAUUUUAAAUUCCGUCAUUAGAUAAUUACGAGCUUCAUCUAUAUCCUGUUUGUUGCCAAUGAUGUUUAAAUCAUCAACAUAUACAGAGAUAAUGCAAAAUCCUGUUUUGAAUUUCUUGAUGAAUACACAUAGGCAGUCAUCAUUGUUAGAGUAAUCCUUUUUAAUGAGAAACUCACUUAGUCGGUUGUACCACAUUCUACCCGACUGUUUUAAACCAUAUAAAGAUUUAUUCAACUUUACACAGUACAUGUUGCGUCUUGCGUUAGUAUUCGGAAUUUGGAUCCCAUCGGGAACCUUCAUGUAAAUGUCCGAAUCUAAUGACCCAUAAAGAUAUGCAGUCACGACGUCCAUUAACAGCAUAGAUAGACGAUUUUGAACAGACAAUGAGAUUAAAUAUCGGAAAGUAAUUCCACUCAUAACCGGAGAAUAUGUUUCAUUGAAAUCAAUGCCGGGUCUCUGCGUGAACCCUUGUGCUACUAGUCUCGCUUUGUAUCUCACCACCUCAUUGUUUUCGUUCCUUUUCUGGACAAAAAACCCAUUUGAAUUCCACUGGAAAAACAUUUGGAGGUGUAGGUAUUAUUUCUGUAAAUACCUUUCUUUUAUUGAGCGAGACUAUUUCUGCUUCAAUUGCAUCCUUCCAUUUAGGCCAGUCGGAGCGUUUUUCACACUCAGCUAUGGUCUUUGGAUCAUGAUUAUUUAGAAGGUUGUUUGCAAUCUUAGUAGAGAAAUAAGUGUCGACAAACGUAGUCUUUCUGUUGUAUAUUUCUCCAGUGUCUAAGUAAUUUGUGGAAAUUUCGUUUAUCUUUGGUGACUGUUCGCGAUUUCCCGUUGCGGUCAAGUCUAGGUUUUCCGAUGUCCCAGCAUCAGUAAUUGAGUGCACUAUUGAUCUGAGUUGUGGAUGUUGGUUAUCCACUGGGUGUCUAUUACCCAAUUGAUCUCGGUCAAUUAAAUGUUGACUCACAUUUGUUGUUGUAGAAGGAGGUUCAGAAGGUUUAUUCUUCUGUUUUCUUUGCCGCGGCUCCUUCAUUUGUUCCUUUUGUUGCUUGCUGGAAGCUUGAUCCUUUUUAGUUGUCGUACCUCUCCCCCUCUUCCUUUGAACGGUAGGUGCAGGAGGUUGAGUAGUUUUUAUAGGUACCUCCACUCUUUCGGAUACGUUUUGUGCAUGAUUAUAGGAUUUAGUUACACCUUUGUAAUCAACAAAUGCGUUUGGUAAAUUGUUUGCAAUAUGUUGCAAAUUUAUAAUUUUCUGAACUUGUUGUUCAGUUUCUUGAGUACGUGGAUCUUGAAAGGGCAUUUCUUUCCUAGUUAAUUUUGGUGGUGAUGACAACGUGUGUUGUGGACUAAUCGUGCGUUAAGUAUUUCAGAUUUGAUAUCAAAUGGCGCAAAACGAUUCGAUGCCCUCAAGUUAGAAAACAAAGAGUAGUGGAGUUUUCGCGGCUUUUUCGGUUAUGGAGUCGUAGGAACUCCGUACUAUUAAGAGGGAGUUCACAUGGGAAGGUAAUGGGUGAAUCGCUUUUCACGUACACAAACAAACAUCUUGCAUCCACAUAAAGCCUACCCAAAAAAUGAGAGAGAACCAACCCUAGAGCCUAAUUGGUGUGCAUUUGCCUGCCCAGGUCCGGAAGUUCCGGUGGGGUUCCGGUACACCGGAACUUCCGCCCAACCUCCGGACCAGGUCCGCAACGCUACUGGAAUCCAUUGUGGAUUUCCGGAAGUUGAGCCGGAACAGUGCCGAAACUUCCGGUGACCAGCGGAAGUUCCGCCCCUGGAACUCGCAGUGCAUAACGGUUAGAUUUUGGGGAGUCCAAAUAGAUACCCCUUCAUCCCCAACGGGUUUCUUGUCCGAGCACGAAGCAAAAAACAGCCACCUCUCUCCCAAGAACUUCCUAAGCUUCAUUCUACUAGAUCUCCCUCCAUAAAUUAAGCUUCCCCCUUGUUGAUUCUUUGAGAAUUGGAGGAGAAGACCUAGAUCUAGGGUUCACCAAGUCACAAAGUUGAUUCCCCUUGUUUCUCUUGUGGAUUUCAUUUCUCUUGGGCAUUUGGGAGCUCUAGACGGAAGUGGUUGCCUUGAGCUCUUCCCUUAGGGAUUGUGGAGCUUGAGGAUUGGAUUGGGAGCCUCCAAUUGAGUUGUGGAGCUAGCCUUGGUCAAGUUUGUAAAGGUUCGGUUUUCGCCUUCAAGGAAGUCAUUAGUGGAGCUCACUCACCUUUGUGGUGCCGUGAGAGGAGAAUAGAGUGAGCCUUUGUGGCGUCUCUACCUUUGUGGUAGAGCACUCCUCCAAACGGAGACGUACACCUACCCCAAUCGGUGGAACUCCGGUGAAAUCUUCGUCUCACCUGUGGUAUCCAUUCUUACCCUUCACAUUCUUGUUAUCUAGUUGCUUCGGCUGCUAUUGCACUUCAUCCUAGGGUUGCAUUACCUUUAGAGAAUUUAGUAAACCCUAGGUUAAGUGUUUGUAUCUUUCUAGAAAAAAAAGAUUAAAAUUUUGUUAGUCGCCUAUUCACCCUCCCCUCUAGCCGACCAUACCGAUCUUUCGGAUCUGAGGCUGAAAUGCCUUGGACAUUCCAGUUGAUUUCCUGGCAUUCUUGUUUUUGGUACUUUAAUUCUCCCCCUAAUGCCGGGAAAUGAUCCUCAUUAAAAAUACAAUCAGUGUACCGGGCAGUGAAUAGAUCCCCUGUGAGAGGUUCUAGGUACUUUAUAAUUAACGGUGAUUUGUACCCCACAUAGAUCCCCAAUUUUCUAUGUCGUCCCAUUGAUGUACGUUGUGGUGGUGAGAUCGGUACGUAUGUAGCGCAGCCGAAUUUUCGCAGAUGGGAAAUACUUGGUGGAUUUCCAUGUACUAAUUGAAGGGGAGAAGUAGUAUGAUAUGCAGUUGGUCGCAAUUGAAUUAAAUCAGCGGCAUGUAUAACCGCAUGACCCCAACAAGUUGUUGUUAAAUUACAAUUCUGUAAUAAAGGUCUUGCGAUAAAUUUAAUUCUCUUAAUAAAAGAUUCAGCCAAACCGUUUUGUGUGUGGACAUAUGGGACUGAGUGCUGAACUUCGAUUCCUAAUGCCAUGCAAUAAUCAUUGAAGGCGCGUGAGGAGAAUUCAGCCGCAUUGUCCAUUCGAAUUAUUUUAAUUCGAUGUUCUGGAUAAUGAGCUUUUAGUUUAAUCACUUGGCUCAUUAUAUUUGCGAAUGCAUGGCUACGUGUGGAAAGUAGACACACAGUAGACCAUCUUGUAGAUGCGUCGAUUAAGACCAUGAAAUACCUAAAUGGUCCAGACAAUGGUUGGAUAGGGCCACAAAUAUCCCCUUGAAUUCAUUCAAGGAAUUGGAGUGGUUCCGCUUGUAUUUUAAGAUAAGAAGGUCUUAAAUGAGCUUGCCUUGUGCACAUGCGGUGCAUAAAAAAUCCUGAGAUUUUGGAAUUUUGCUUUAUUAAGAUUAUGACCAAUGGAAUUAUUAAUAAUUUUCCAUAUCAUCCCGAUACCGGGGUGACCAAGACGAUCAUGCCAAGUCUGGAAUGUAUUGACAUUCUGAAAAAUUAUUUUAUACGCAACAUGGGCUACAGGUUUUAUGUAUGUAUAGUACAAUCCGGACGGUAAAGAAGGAAUUUUUUCAAGAAUUUGUUUACCAUAUCUGUUAUGUUUUGUAAAUAAGAGAAAUUCCUCAUUGUUGUCAUCGUGGGUUUCAAUAUGAAUCCCAUUUUGACGGAUAUCCCUAUAACUUAUUAGAGUACGAGUUGAAUCGGGAUACAAUAAAGCGUUCUCGAUUAUUACUUGUGUACCCAUAGGAAGUAUGAUGACGGCACGUUCAGAGCCAACAAGUAUCGCGUCCAGCGAUUGUCAAAAUAUUCCCUUGCGUUUUAGUAAGGGUUUGAAAAUAUUUUUAUUCCCUAAGUAUAUGUUUGUGGUGGCGUUGUCCACAAGGCAAAAGUUUUUCGUCCAUUUUGGAUUGACUCCCGUAGAAAACUAUAUAUGAAAAAUGAAGAAUUUUAAUAUCAUUCUUAAUAGAUAUAUAGAAUACAUACAAAUUUAUUUAUGUAUGAAAUUGAUAAUACAAUAUCGUAAUUUACAAUACAUAUGUCAAAUAUGUAGGUACCAAAGUGCUGAUACAAUAAUGUAAUAUUGCAAUAUAGAUGACAACGGUCACUAUAAUUUAUUUACAACAAUAUUUAGGAACGUAAAUAUAGAUAAUAUCUAUUUCGGAGAUAGGUGAACUAAUUUAGGUCUCCAAACAUAUUAUUUGAAGUGAAUUCAAUGAUCAUGUUCUCCGUGCUCAUUAGAUCCUCAGACGAUCGGAUUGUCGGUUUGUUGCUUGGGUCCUCCUUUAUAUCAUGUGAACAACCGGUUUCCUUGAAAUUGUCGGAUUGGAAAUUGAAGUGUGAUUCAAAUCUUGGUCCUUGAUGAGCAAGUCACUUGCGUCCUACGGAUUGGAGGUACAGAUCUACCAAAUGACGAGGGGUACGGCAUUUCUUUGUAAUAUGCUUGUAGCACCCACAUUUCUGACAAACUUUAGAUUUGUCGUAUUAUGGUUUGAAAGUGCCUUUCCCCUUUUCCUGUACACGUGGCUUGUUUUUCUUGUAGCCCUUUUGCUUGCCUUUGAAGUUGUUUGGUCGAUUAGUCGAUCCAUUGAACUUGUUGUUUUUCUGAAAAUUAGCAUGUACUUCAGGCAAAGGUGCAGCGCCUACAGGACGCUGAUGAUGGUUCCUCAUUAGAAGUUCAUCAUGCUUUUUGGCUUGAAGUAAAACAUGGAUAAGAUCAAAAUAUCUAUUGAAUUGGCGUGCACAAUACUGUUGCUGGAGGAUCCCAUCGAACAGAAGCAUAGUGGAUAAGUUCUUUUCAAUCUUUUCCGCUUCAGAAGGUUCCUUCUCGCAAAAUUGCAACUAGUUUGGAGGGCAAGUCAUAGUGUGUGUGGAUCUUCUUCCAUGAGAUACUCUAAUUUGAGAUCAGCAUGGAUGUGGUUUCUUAUAGUAUAUAAGGCAUUAUAUUUGUAUAAAUCUGCGAUGGGCGGUUGUCCCUCUUGAGGAGGUUGUAUGGCGCUGAAAGACCACAUGACGCAAGGCUCACUUUUACGUCCAUUGCCCAAGUUGGAUAGUUUCGACCGUCGAGAGCGAGUUCCUCAAACUCUUUCCCGGUCAUUUUGUCCUACAUGGGGUUGAAAAACCAUAGAUUUUGUCAAUUACUAGUAGGUAAAGCCAAAAUAUUGUGGUCAUUGUUGUAAUAAAAUUGCAAGAAAAUGCAUGAGAUUUAAUCCAUGUUAAAUUCAUAUAGUGUAUACCUCAAAUAACACUUUGAAGAUAAUCACCGAUUUAUUGGUGUAGAUCUCUCAGCUCUACGCGAAAAAUUCGCUGCUUUCAAUAAGGUUUAUGUUCCCACGGAACAUUCAACGCCAUUUAGCAUUUUACCGUUAUUGAAAGACUGUAGCACCUUGUGUUAUUUUUUAAUUUAAUAUUGGAAGAGCACGUUGAAGGUAGUCAUUGUGUGUAUUCGACACAAUGUAGACCUCUCAGCACUACGUGAAAUAAUUCGCUGCUUUCAAUAAGCUGUACGUUCCCACGGAACAUUCAACACCAUGUAGCAUUUUACCGUUAUUGAAAGUCUACAGUACCUUGUGUUUCGCAUAUAUUAAAUUGAGAUAGUCACAUGGUGAUAAUUUUUGCUUAUCACUAAUGGAGAUUUUUCUUGAAUCAAGUCUAAUUUGGGCUUUUUUUAUGCCAUUUUGGGACUUAAUCGUUGAAGCAAAACUCUCAGAUAUGCAAGAACUAAGAUCUCAAUUGCAAAGGAGUAAAUAUCACAUGUAAUAGGGGAUGUGUAUCAUACAAACACAUUGAACACAACAAUAUUUACAUUGACAUUUACAUAAGAAUAUGUCUUUUAAUAGGAAUCCAUCCUAAAACCACUGGAAUCUAAAUAAAUAUAAGUGCAGGGACCUAUAAGUAUGUAAAAUACUACUGUUAAAUAGAUACAUGGACCAAAUCGCAAAUAGCCAGAAGUUCCGGACUUUUCUGCAAAAUGGCCGUAGCCAGUGGAGGGGGGGCGCGGGCGUGGUCCUGGGCCUCGGCGGCCUUUCGGCUGGCCCAGGUCGGGCCGAGGGGGGGGGGGGGGCGAAAGGGUACAAAGGGGGGUGGGGCGUGCGGUUAGGGUUAGGGUUACCCCGCCCCAACGCUGCCGCCGCCACUGCUCCCCCCAAAUCCCGCCGCUGCCGCCCCGUUGUCGUCGCCGCGAUGCCGCUUCCGCCGCUGCUUCCCCUCCCCUGCGUCGCCGUCGUUGUUAGAGAGAGGGUGGCCCCCCCUCGUUGGAGGAGGAGAGACCGAGGGCGGCCGGGUUCCACCCGCCACCGGCCGGUCCGGUACGGUUAGCCGCCAUGGCGGCCGCGAACUUGCGGAGAAGCCGCCGGGCUUCGAGAUGAACAUUGUCCAGCACCUCUCCGACGUCGUCGUCGGUUGAUGGAGCGGGAUCGGCGGCCGGCGUGGAUUGAGUCGGGGAGGAGAGCGGCGGCGCCAUGCCAUCCCGCGUCGGGCACGGCCUGUGCUCGUGGAUUGGGCAGUACAGCGGCGGUGGAGGUGGCGCAAGAGCGAGGACGAAAUCAUCUUCUUCGCCGAGCAUGCGCGGUGCCGGUCCGAACAAUAUCCAAUCCAUCGAAGGGGUGUAGUGCGGGGAGGCCGGCGUCGUUGUGUCCGUUGGUGCGGCGGCCGGCGGUGUGGCUGUGGUGGGCAUGGCGUGCACCCGAACGGGUCCGACGUCAAGGGGCCCACCGGCGAGUCCAGCGGCGGCGACAACCACGGUAAGCUCCCCGGCAAGGUGCUCCUUUGCCAAAGAACUCGAGAAGGGCAAGAAAAACGAGAGGCAGAUCAUUGAUUGCCAUGCUCCUCACCUUUGUGAUUGUAGAACAAACGUGGCUGAUAACGUGUUAGAAUAAAAUCUGUGUCUUGUCCCAUUGAAUGAUGAUUAUAUUUAUACAAGGGUAAGGAACACCAAUACAUGCAUUGGUGUCCCAAGUUUUGGGCAUUCGCAUCCCAAUUUUCCCAAAAUUGGGACGCGAACAGUUACAAUAUUAACUACCUAAUUAACCAUUAAUUAAUCCUAAUUGAUCCUAAAUAAUUAUUCUCAACAAUAAGCUCAGAUUGUCCAACCACAACAAGACGGCAUGGGAUCGUCCGUGGACUAGUAGCGCGAAUGAACACUUUAACUUUCACCUAUAGCUAGCUUAACUUUCAAAAAAUGCUUAAAAGGGAACUAAGGAGCCCCUGGCUGAUAAGCUCAACAGAAAAGGAUUGGAAAAGGAAGCGAUGGUUCGUCCACAGCAGGAUUCAGACCAGCGCAAUCCCAACAGAUUCCGAGCCUGUCUCCUUAACCAUUCAAACAUAUCCACAAUCGUGUUAGCUGUGACGUAGUUUUAUGUAUAAAUGAAAACUGUAUACAAGAUUGAAUAGCGGACACAACGCAGCAACAGCAGCGGCAACUUUUAUGUUACAGGUAUGUCGACUUCAAGGUUGUUCCACAAUGACCAUCCGGCGGGAUAGUUGAGUCGGGGAGGUUCUAAGUUGAAAUUCCAGACCAUAACUCGGUUGCAAUUGUCUGGAAGACCCUCUAUCUGACGCUCGCUUUUAACAAGCUUCUCAAUAAAUCGUGACUCCUGCAACGAUUAAAUAUUCAGGUCAGCCGAUCAAUUUGAUAUUGGGUCACAAAAAAUAGCCAUGAUGCAGUUCUAUUUUCUUCUGAUAUACUAAUGGACUUAGCUGCUUAAAGAGACUAUUGGUGGCAGUUUACAUUGAUUUUGCCUUCAUAACAAUUUUAUCCAUUUGCUAACCAAUAUUAUGUUUCAUUUCAUGCCACACUGGCCAUUUCUCAGAUAGAAACUGAUUGCAGUUUGCUCCAUGGAGAUCUUGUAGAUAGAAAACCAACCAAGCAGCGACAGAAUUACACAGAAAUAUUUCCAUUGAAUUAUUCUAAUGUGCUUGACUAUGCACAGCGUUGCGAAACAAAACUCACCUGCAAACCGCCUCUUCCACCAGAGUGGACGAUGACAGAAUCCAAAGCUGGGCGGUUCCACCUCUGAGGAUCCCAGAGCAUUGUACUGUUGAAAGCAAACCCAGAAAAACCAAUAGGGAACCGACGAGGUGCACCCUUCUUCUGAAUUGUGUUCCAUCCAGUGAUUCGAUUACCUUUACACACUGGACCUUCUAAAACAACCCUGUACUUACUUCCAUCAUGGAUUGCUACAGGCCAUGUGCCAAAGCGCCUGCAGAAAAAAGAACAAGCUUGUAACAGAGAGAAGGAGAUUCCUUUCAUCUGAAAUUUCUGAUAAGCAGUGUAAAGGCAACCAAAAAAGUGAAUCUGGAUAAUCCAUUAUUGCUUAGGAUGAUGUUUCACCUCCUACAGCAAAUUUACUUCACAGGUUUCACCAUUUAAAGACUACUCACAACUAAUUAAAUUCUUUACAAAUUAUCGCCAUUUUGCAUAUCUUCUCGAGUUAUAGCACCUAAUUUGGUACUCUCAUCAGUCCUCACUAUGCUAAACUGAAAACACAGCAUAGAUUUAUAGUACCUUCUAUUAUAUUUUGGCAGUGAAGAUCAAAUUCAAAACUGCUUUAAAAAUAAUUAAAAAGCUACUGGCUGGAACCUCAUACUGUUUGCCAUAACAAUGAGUUGGUUUGGAAACAAAGAACUUCCUAGACCUGAUUCAGUAUCACUCAUUAAGCAUCUUGGGCGUAGUCCAAACAACUAGUUUAAAAUGAAUUAAAACUGCAAGACUUAGAUUAGGUCCUGUUCUAAGUGGGAUUGUCGAUCUUAAUAAUUUUCAUACUCCCUCAGAUCCAUAAUAAGUGUCGCUGAUUUAGUACAACUUUGUACUGCAUCAAUGACACUUAUUAUGGAUCAGAGGGAGUUCUUUUUUUACAAGGUACAGCAGGCCCAUUCCACUCACAUCAUAGUCCAUAGAUAGGAAAGGUUUUUGUGCCACUGAUACUCACCAGUAUAAGCUAAGUUCAACCAUUCAAAGGUAAGGAACUCUAGGAGAGAGCUUUCUGUUGCAAUGCAAAUACAGAAUACAGACCCAGCACACAACUCUAGGAGCAAAGCUUUCUGUUUUGGCUAUGGUUUACUAAAGAUACCGCUAAUUUCCAGAAAUCCAAGUGAUGGGUAUGCAAUUUUGAAACCCACUGUGUUGUCUGUUAUCAAUAUCCAACUGCAGUACAAGUGUACAUACUAGAAAUGCCCAGAGAUUCCUUGAGAAGGAAGUAUUUAGCACUCUACUCAAUGUUCACUAACUUUGUUAGCAAGGAACAUGUAACACCCAACCUAGCACUGACUUUUGUCAUAAGCAAGGAAGAUGUAACGUUUCACUCACACAAUAUACAUGAGCAAAGGAACAAUGUUUCUAUAGUUUGAUAAGCAUAAUCCCUUUUUCCUGGCAGGGUAAUUCCACAGUUUUAUUUAUACAACAAAAGGGUUCAAAUUCCCGUUUUGAAUCAUCCAUGCAUUCAUAAUUUAUUCAAUAUAUUGGUAGAGCAAAUGAUGUUUUGGUGGAGAAUUGUCACCUGAUUCUCCGCAUUUCUUCAAAUACAUCACCCAUGUAUGAUCGCUCUUCAUCAGCGAAAUGCACUAUACCAUCAAGGUGGUGCUUUUUAAUAUGAUAGAUUGCAUUAUUCCUUUGACAGACAGCAAUCUUCCGUACACUGGUAAUAUUCUUCCUGCAGACAAGAUGCCUGUACAUAACCCCAGAAGACCUCAGGAUUUCUUCUGUCUCAAAGGUAGUACCAGGCCAUUCCACCACUAACCAUAAAAGAGGAGGUGGCACACCUUUCAAAACAUGAGCUAGACGAUUCAAGUAAUACGCCUGUUGUGGCCGAACAGAAGUGACUGUCACCACUAUCAGAAGCUUCCUCACUGGGAUGACCAAAUCAUUAAUAGCGGGUAUUGCACGUGAUGCUUCGACAAAAUCAACCUCAUCAUCCAACAUUGGAGGAACCGGAGGACUCUCUUCAACCUCAGGCUCGUCAAUCACCUCAACCUCUUUCUGCACUACGAUUGCAUCCAAUUCCUUAACUUUACCAUCCACCAUUUCCCUCUCAACCACCCCAUUAUCGAAUGGAAGCUCUGAGACUAUCUUCUGGGAGACAUCAACCGAGAAGAAUGGCGUGAACCCAAUGAAGAUGCCGACCAAGAAACAUACAAACAGCCGAAAUGCAACUCUCUUGCAGAUCAGGCACUUAGAUUUUGAUCUCUCGGGCGAUCGCCAUGUGGAUCUGAGCCUGCUUGACCACAAAACAAAGUCCAGAGAGGCCAACGAAGCCAGCAGCCCCCUCAUCACGACGUACGACUGCGAAUAUAGCAAUUUAGGAGAUGGCGAGGGGUCAGCAAACUGGGACCAGUCCUUGGCCUGGCCGUCUCGGUGGAAUGCCCCUGUGGAAUUCCUUCUGCUAGACACCAUUCCAAUAUCAUUAUGCAUGUAUGCCUCCUAAAUUUCUCAGAAGCGCUUGCGUUUUAGUCCAGGAACACUGCUCUUACUAUCACUUCUGAUCAUGCGGACAAAUGAAGCGGAAUUGUACCUGCAAAAUAACCAGUUGCAAGAAUUGCCUCUGAUCAGCUCAAAAUAAAACUACAUAGGCUCAUCCAUCCACAUAACAUGCAAAAUUAGAACCUCUUCUACUACAGUAGUUCAGCCAGCGAGAUCUGCAAGAGCACCGCAGAGACACAGAUAGGAGACAUCUCCCCACACCAACCGACUAAAUCAACUAGCUACUCCAGAUUGCCAAAACCAGGAUCACCUACCAGGCUGGGGGCGGAGCUACAGCGGCACAAGGGUGCAUACCCACUAGUUUUGGCAAAUAAAACUAAUUAGGAAAUAUGCUACUAUGAAAUACAAAGCAAUUCGAAAAGGAUUUCAACCAAGCAGCCCACUUUUUAUUCACCUCAUUUUCGCCCCCAAAAUCCCAUUCAUCCAGCCCAACAUGCAAAAAAAAAAAGCACAACCGGCUGCUGCAACUCCAGGAACCCCAAUUGGAACGGAAAUCAAUCGGAGGCAAGCAGCCGUGCGGGUUACAGGUGCGGAUCUAGAACGUGUGCACCCGGAAAUUGUGAAGAGCAGUGGGAAUUAUCUAUUUGGGGGCGGGCGGAGAGGAGAGGAGAGCGAGGUGAGGUAGGAGAAAGGGGAUGAAGCUUGACUUACAGCUUGCAACGGCUGAGGAGAUCACUGCCGUCGCGGAAGUCACGGAGCGAGGCGGCCGGCCCUGGCCCCUGGGUUGGCGCUGUAGUGACGCAGCGACGCCAGCCGGGCAGGGUUAGCGCGGCCGUCGAGGGAGAGACAGAGCGGCGGCGCAACCGGCCGGGAUUAGCACCGUGGAGGAAGGGAGCGCCGUUGAGGGGAGAGAGCACGGCUAGAUCGUGGGGAAUUUCGGAUCGGGACCUCGGCUGUGCUAUGCCGUGGUAGGAGGAAGAGGAACAAGCACGCCCUCCCCCAACGACGGGUGCCUUGUGCAGUGGUUGAAACCAAGCUCCAAUGAUACCGUUUCCUUCUUCGUGUAAAUAGCUAUGCAUUUUUCAGUAGAACUUUUGAACAUUAUUUUAUGUGUUGAAUGAAAAAUUUACAGGCAAGGACAAAGGAACAAUGAUAUUAGUACUGUAGUAGAAGUUCUCAAAGGACCAUAUUUUCUACGCUUACGUGUUCUAGAAUCAGAAGACGUGUAUACUUGUGACUGAUUAAUUCUUUUAUGACCGGAUCUUGACACUUUCUCCAAUAAAUAUAAUGGGAAGAAAUAGUGAGAACCAGUAGUAAUCAGCAUGGCAACCUCAAGGUCUCUAGGGUAAUCACACACCAGAGCACGACUUUCUGCGAUAUGACAUCAAUUAACAGCCCAAGCUUAUUGUACUAACGUGUCCCUCUCACCAGAAGCCGAUGUUUCUCUCCAAGUGCAACCUGACAACAAGAAAAAACCCAAGAAAAUUUAGCCAGGAAAAUAGGGUCAUUUGUGAGUCAGCGAUAACGCACAGCUUAAACCGGUGGCGCAGGACCGGUCGUGAGUCGGGCCUCGAUCCUCAAGGUUGCUACGUGGCGCUCAUCGGAGACCACCAGAUGCCAGAUUUAACGGCCUCCGUGUCGCCUGGCGGUAGGUGGUGCAUGACGGCUGGGCCCCAGUCAGCAGCGCCCUACCUACCUGCGCAAUAGUUGGCCCGGUCGGCGGCGACGGCGAGUCGUUGUAGUGGUUACCACGUCGGCUGAUUGUAUCCAACGGCAAGAAGCAUGGAUCAUUUGUACUGAGACGGAUCGCGAGAAGCAUGUGGGUCCCGUAUGCAGUGACGUGCACGUGCAUUCGGUUGUGCUUACUGCUGGCUUUUCACAACGGAAUAUUCAGCGACCGGCGGGGACAAAGGGAAGAGUGGCCCACGUGCUCAAUUCCUUCCGCUUGUGAGUAACUAUAACAUAAUCGUGUUUUUGUUCUUUAGACAAAAUGUAACAACCUAAUCAUGUUGUGGUUCGGCUGCUUAGUCUUUUAGUCGAAAUGGCCGUCCGAUUAUUCUUCCCCUUUGCCAGCCCCAUAUGAUUGGCGUUGGCGAGAAAGAAUGUACUCCCUAAGCAUUUUCAGUAUUGAACUAGAGUGAAGCGUUACUUUGAUUCAAAGGAUUUUCAUAGGGAUUUUGGAGGAUUUGAAUCCUUAGGAUUUUUUUCAUAUGAGUUGUUUGAUUUGUAGGAUUGAAUCCCAUGAAUUUUUUUCCUAAGGAUUUUAUUGCAUUACAGUAGGAAUUUUUCGAUCCACUCCAAUCUUUUUUUCAAAUUCCUUUGUUUUUCGUGUGCUCAAUCAAACAAACAUUGGUCUAACCACAAUCAUGUAGGUUUCGAAUGGCCAUGACAUUGCAAUUCUACAGUUUUCGUAUUCUUGUAUUUUUUUAUCCUGCGAAUCAAAGAGGCCCGAGACCUUUUUUUUAAAGCUUGUGAGUACUAGUAAUUGAGUACAUGUGGACUAUUGAUACGUACAGUACUGCCUAAGCAUCUUCAGUAUUGAACUAGAGUGAAUAUCUAGAUUUUUAGUCGAGUCGGCCGGAUACGAUGCAUAUAUAGAUUUGGCUUUUUUUUAGAAAAUCUAUAGCUAGCUAGCUAGGUACGCCCUGCGUUUCCUAUCUAUCUAGUAAUAACAAAUCUCAGUUGUUGGAGCGACUACAACAACUGAUCAAUCGGUCAGCCUCCACACGCAGGUCUACCAGAAACAAUGUUGUUGGCGUUUCAUGAUGCAUGUCGUGAAUGCUUUGCUUAAAGCUCCUCCUCCAACUAAUCCCAUUAGCUGAUGCUGACACUCGUGUAUGCACCAACUACGUUAAGAAAAAGAAAAAAGAAUCCUUUACAAAAGAAUUGAGAAAGGAACCAGUUCUCAGGACAAUUUGCACCGACGACGACCGGUUCGUACAUCGAUCCUGCUGUCUGGUUCACAUUUGCACUGGAUUAACUGGUAUAUACCUUUCCUGUUCCCCAUUUCAUGUAUCUCUCUCGAUGUUCGAUUAGUCAGCAUUUUGUGAUGUCUUUGUGUGGGGGGAAAAACUCGAGUCUAAAAAAAAAUGCAGGCCUUGUGUUACACUGCAAUUAAAGAUUACUGUUCGUAAUUGGUUCGUUCCCAUUCGAAUUGAUCAAGUGAUCAUUAUAUUUAACACUUUUAGUUAUCAGUGUCUUCUUCCCCGGCGUGCUUCUAUUAAUUAACCUGAUAAAGCAUUCACAUGUGCACUUUGUAUAACAUGACUGCAGAAGAGAGUGUUGUUGCAAACAAACGCGAGAUUAGAUUACUCUGGUGUUGCCACUAACCAAAGGCAUGAUGCGGCCAUGCAGGUCCAGCAUGAUUGUCAUCAAAAGUGACCGGCCAUGUGCUCCCUUUUUUUAAGAACUACAGUAAAACAGAUGGCAGAUGGGAAUGCGGAGGCGGAGAAAAUGGCUGGCAAAUGUUUCGGUGAUACUCGUUGUAAGUCUGGGCCUAUUCUUGCUAGGCACUUUCAAACGGGCUCUCUCACCAAAAAAAGAGGGGAAAAAACGGCUUAACGGGCUGUAUGCCUAGAAAGCUUAAUGGAGUCUACUAACUGGGCUUGGGCCUUCCUCCAAAAAAGGUUUUGGGUGGUCGCGGUGGUGUGUGUGGGGGCGCCUGGUGGUUAAGAAAGUUUAAUUAAUAUAAAUUGUGCGCCAUGGCUCUUCCUCUUCUGUGACGACACUUUACCGGACGAAGCAGAGAUAUCUUUCAUCCACAGGUUCGAUGUGUGUGAUCUUGCGAACUUUAGGUUCGUUUCCUCGCAGAACCGCUCAUACAUAUAUGAUGAGUUGUUGCUAGUGUGUCCUAGUGCUUUUAUUGGCAUGGUUUUUCUAUGGCAUUUGAGUCUUUCUUUGAUGUUCAGAUCAAGACUAGACGGGCCAGCGCGCUUCGCUGCGCCGUCGUUUUAUGAGUCUUGAGUUAUUAAUCUUUGAAAUUUUGGAUUUUUGCUAUAUUUAUACAAGAGCGGGGCUGCUUAAGCACAUAACCAACAUCGUUUUUCAUGCCUGGACAAUAAAAGCAUAAUAAAUUAACCACCUUGCAUGUAAGAAUGCGUGUCUACAAUGAUGCGUAUAGAACGAUAGCAUAUUUCCAAAAUUUUCCGUACUUGUUUGGCUCCAAGGUAAUUUCAUAGUUCUGCAGGAAAGUAGCAAAUUCAAUAAUUAACACAAUUCUAGAGCCAAAAUAUGUAGUGCCAUGUCCUCAAAAACAGAAAAAAAAAAUGAAGCUUUGAUUUCACAGAGCCACCAACAAUAUCCAACCAAACAAUCAACCAAUCGGAAGAUCUCCGUAAAUUAAAACUUCAGAAAAAAUGGUUAUCUUAAGGAGCAUAGUUAACAGAGAAAACUAACAAACGAAAAAGUCUAACUUCUUGAAGUAUUUCCCAUACAAUCGGUAUCAUUCUUGACCGAAAAAUGGUUAUCUUAAGGAGCAUAGUUACCAGAGAAAACUAACAAAGAAAAACUGAACAAUUCAUAUAAUCUUCUGGAUGACCUGUGACCUUCAAGAUUCAUCAGUUAAAACCGAACAAUUCAAUAAAAGCUUUUGGAUGACCUGUAACCUUCAAGAUCAUCAGUCAAUGCUUUACAUAGAAGGAACCAACAAACCUGUCUAAUGCUUCACCUGUAAAAAAGAGAAGCACCGGGCAUUUUAGGCACUUGUGUUCUAUUAAACAAAUCUCACAGUAUUCCUAUGAGAAAUCAGAAUUUUUCAAUCAACAUAACAAACUGAAAGAAAGCGCGAACAUGAUGUAUUGAUUCUUGACACAAGGAAAUGAACUCAAAUGAUACAUGCAUAUGGAACAUUUAUAGUUUUAUGUGAACUCUAGAAAAAUAUGUACCAAAUUAGCAUCAUUUUAUUUUUCAACUAUUACAAAAGAAUUGAGAAAUUUCUUUGAUUCCGUAUGAUCAUGAAGUCAGCACCAUUAGGUGUUUCAAAUAACAGAAGGAACAUGCUUAGUAGAAGGGAACCUCUCAGCACUAUCUAGCUUCCUUCCAACACAAAUUUUCUCUAGAGCAAUUACAGGAGUAUCUUUAAGUAACAUAAAUAACCAAUCAAAAGAUCUAGGAAUUGCAAGUUUGUACAACAACCAUUACAUGCCAUUUGGUUUCAAUAGAAAAUAAUAAGAGGAACAACACAACCGAUGAACUUGAAUUUCAUACUACUAAACGACAUAUCCAUGAUACAUUGGAGCAGGUUAACAAAAAUCCGAAGACGUCGAGAAAAAGAAGAUAGCUUUCUCACUACGGGAAGAAACAAUAUAACAUGAUCACAUCUUUAAAUGACAUAUCUCGGCUCUAAGAUAGCGCAAACACAGUAGACAGAAGUUUAGGGAAAAUAAAAACCACUAACCUUGGUCAAGUGUAAAGUUAAAUCAUGUUAAUAAACCCUGAACCAUGUCGUCCUCGGAACUGUGGAAUGCAAAGAUGUACUAAGCACAGAAGUGGGGUUUGCUUCAGUCAUUGUUACACCACAAUAAUUUGGAGAGCAUGAAAUCCAAAUCCAAAUCUUUCACUAUUAAACAUACAAUAAUUACUCACAAGCACACGAACUACAUAGGAGCAUAUUUAGCACCAUGAUUAGCACUGUCGUAAUCAGCGAAAGCGGUUGGGAAAGCUAAGGCAAAUAUUCCAGCAGGCCAGACUACCAAAGGGCAAGCCCAACUAAGGAGAGAACUAAAAAUCAAGCACCACCACCUCAAAAUAAUCAUUUCAGCCCAUAAGGUCAGGAUGAUCUCUAGCUAAAACUGCACCGGAGAGAUUAGCAUCAGUGCAAGAACAGAUUAACAAAAUUGCACAAGAAAGGGAAAUGGUGUAAGGGCUGAAUUUGCUGCACAAUUGGAGGAAAAGGUUCUUCUCUCUCCCAACUUUGCAUACACAUAGCAAAUUAUAAUUUCCUAGCAGCACCAUCCAUCCAUCCAUCCAGAACCUUAAUUCACAGCCUGCAAAUUGCAAGAAGCCUCGAACAAACUUGUCAAUUUGUCCUAUAUACACAGCCUGAAGCACUACAGCGAAAUCUAAAACAAGGUUAAUGCUGUCCUGUGUACACUGAGAUUCAGAAUCGAAAUUCACCAACAAUUUUGACUCUAGCUAGUUCUUUAGGACAGAACAAGAAGUAGGAAAGAUCCAACCUGAGAGGUAAGCAAUGCAUCAUCUGGUGGAUCCUAAUGGCACAAAGGAAAAGAAAUAGACCACUGACCAACACGAAAAUAACUUGGAUCUCAAGGAGAAGAGGAGGAGGGAGAUCUUGAGGAGCAAUAAGAAACAAAUUGGAUUGAAUCUCAAAUGGAUGGGAUGUAGAACACAAACCGGCGGGUUUGGUCUCUCUCGGGCACCCCUGUGCGCGCUCACUGGUGGCCGGUAUCCACGGCCCGCUUGUGGCCCUGCCCUGCGCCGACUCUUUCGCUUUGGCGCCGGCGGCGUCACGCGGCCAUCUCGCCUAGCCGACCACGACCACCACCUGAACCUCAUCGGCCAGUUCAGCCCUAGAAGAACGCCAUGGCCAGAACGGGCGGCUACCAAAGUACAGCAAAACAAAAACAAAAGGAAAUGGUUUCUUCAGACCUGGGGCAUCAACAAAUCCACCAAAGUACAUCAAAACAAAAAUGAAUAGUGGAGUAUGCACAUCAAACACAUCGAAGCAUUGGUUCCUAAAUUCCUUGGGAAAAUAACAGCGGAGACAUAUCCAAAAAUCCAUCAGAAAACCCCCCAAAAGAACACGGAACACCUCCUCACCGAAUUUCGAAAAGUGGUACACGAAUUGAAACACGGUCAGACCAGGAGUGGCGGACGGCAACGUUGGCGAUGCAGAGAGAGAUGAUCAGUGAAGAGAGCGUUCGAGGAAGGCUCGGGAAGGAUCGAGAAGGGCUUCGAGGCUGAUAGUGGGCCACACGGCGAUCGGCCAGAGAAAAAGAAAAUCAACCGAUGGUAGGGAUCGUGACACGCUAACGGCAUAGAUGCAAACACGUGGAUGCAAGAAUGAGGCCUCAAAUCUUUCGCCUUUAGAGAAGGGAGAUUUUAUGGUUCGAUGGCCUGUAUCUUCAUGGGACCAUCCCAUCCAAGUACGUUUAAUGCUCAUGUCCCAUCUUUCUUUACGGGUGACUUGAGAGGGCUUUUUGAAACCUUCAAAGGUAAUCGAGUUCGUGUAGGUGUUCGAGUAGCGGCGUCCCUACUACAGUCUAAUUGCAACGUCUUUACUGAAGCCCCGAUGGCACUCCAUGUGGCAAAGAUAGAUACGAUGGAGAAGUUUGCUUUUAAAGACUUCAAUGAUGUUCUUAGUUCCAAGAGUUGCUUUUUAGUUUCUUGCAUUUAAUCCAAAACACUGUAAUAGAUGUCGAGUUUGGAUAAAACUACAUGUGACUCAAAAAAAGCAUGGAGAUAUUUUUUAAAAGGUGUGGUCAUAAGCGUCUGAUUUUUAAGAAAAAACUUAAAUCUCAGUUGAUGCAUUGAAGCCAUUGGAUUAAAAUCUGUAUGACAUCCCCACUCUCUCUCCUGUCACACAUGUUGUCAUUGGAUUGAGAUCUGACGGCCAAACACGUUGACUGAUCUCUAACUAACUAAUUCGCAAAAAAAAGUAAAAAUUACUCCAUGCGAUCCUAAAUUGUUGUUGUGAAUUUAGUUCUAAAUUGUUGUCAUGAAUUUAGUUCUGAACUAAAUUAAUGACUCAAUUAACGACAACAAUUUAGGAUCGGAACAAGUUGCUGAUUUCUCAACAGCAAAAUUUUAAAAAAUGUACCUACAGCUGAUAAACGGGCUGGCUCACGAAAACAAGCUUAACAGUGUUAACAGAAUACAUCAACACCGAGACACAUAGUAUAUCACUGGCUUGUAAAUUGCGCACAAACUUCUUUAGCGUCCAAAAAAAAGAUUGUAUACGUCUUGAAAACAUUUACAAACUACGAUAAAAAAAAAGCAGAACGGUUCAUCGAGUCGUAGCUAUCACGGGCCAGGACAGGCGCGUACGUAUGGCAGGUCCGUCCGUUGACCUGUGAAAGCAGCCCAGUACUCACAUGCCAUCCAGCAAGAGCAGACUCCGACCGACUCCCCCAGCAGCCCGGCAGCACCCACGCGGCCCUGCAAGUCAUUUGCCACGCACGGUCACGGAAAAAACGCAGCAGCGCAAUGCCUGGGCACGGCACGGGGCCGGGGGACAAGCAACAAACAAUUGAUUGCCAUGGCGAAGAACUGAAGAAGUCUGGUGAUGCACGGAUGGAUGGGCUCGCCAUGCACGGGGGCAUGGGGCCGGAUGGCUCUCACUCCAUGCAGUUUGCUCUUUUGUCCUCGCCGAUGGGGCGGGCAGCCGGGGCCGGGCAAACGUUGGAAAGGAACAUGGCGGGGCUGGAUGGAUAUGGAUCGUCAUCAUGGCUGCCGCUGCACGGGCCUCGCUUGCCGGCCGGCAUGCAUGCAAGAGCGCCAGGGUUUUUUUGGACGCGCGGAGCUAGACAUCGAUCCAUCCAUCGAGUUUGUUGUUCUGCUGCGGCCAAAAUCAUCAACCGGUCGUUCUAAUUUAAAACCGUGUCAAUCUUUCUUUAUGUAACGGAGGAAGUAGGCUUUAUGCAUGAUCAACACGGAUGAUGGAUGGAGGAAGAUCAUUCAUUCACGUACGCGGCUACUAUUGUGUAAUUGUUGACCGGUCUGGCGAUUUUUAUUUAUCAAAUCAAAGCGUGUGAUUAGGCAGUAGAGCAACAGCUGACAUAGACUCGCAUAGAGUAUACCGAAGUUCCUUCAUCCUCUUGCGAGAUGUUAAAUGCAUCGAUCCGGUAGGCGCUCCAUUACUCCUGGCUCCAUAUCUCGAGUAUAGGCUGCAGCUUCACUGUUCUGGUCAUCUGUUGUGCAAUUAUCCUUGGCAGUUGCAGGAGCGAUAGAGCAGUACUACGGGAGGUAGCCAGAGCAGGGGAGGAAGGAAGUUAAUGCGGGCGCUCUCGAGCACCUGUGGCAAUGUAUGAUGGCCGGCGAGGUGACCGAGCGGCCGGUGCUGUGAUGAUGCGCGCGUGGAAGGCCGGCCGGGGAGUACGUGUAUCAGCACACAGAGGCCAGUAAAUGCACUCGCAGCUGCUUGUACUGGUACGUAGUGCCGAUCGAUCGAUGGUCGAUGAGCUAUAGAGCAGGGCUGCAGGUGCUGCUGGCCUGCUACGGCGCCGCGCACGCCUGCGCAGGCGCAGCGCAGGCUGCAGGCGAUGUCGAGCGCGCGGCACGGCAAAUCGAUCAGCAAAUGCUAGUGGUACACUCGUACUACUCCGGUCGACCGAUGAGAAGAAGCCCGGGGCCGGCCCUCGUCGCGCGCCGUGCGGCGCCAUCAAUUCUCUGAACCACCGAGAUGCGUCGAUUCUUGGUCGCUAGGUCUGGAUUAAAUGCAGUGCAACGCUAGGGUUGCAACAC
rnacentral:lncRNA from 1 species